GGAGAGGGCUGGACUAAGAGACUAGAGAGGAGAGGCACAAGUCAGUAGCUAAGGCUGCAUGACAUAAUGUAACACAAGUGUAGAAAAAGAAUUCUAGAUCUACACUUGCAAUAGCAGAACAUAGCUGAAAAGCUCGCCUGGUUUGGAUUUCAACAGCCUCUUCAACCCAGACUGUGCAGAGUAUUGCUUGUUGGGCUGAUUGACCAGUGUUGAAGCCAAGAGAGCUGAUUUCAUUCUGCAGUAAAUCUUUUUUUUUUUGCCAGUGGAUCUUCUUUUAAAAGUGGAUUAUAUGGAUACAGUGUUGAACUCAAACAGGUAAAAACUAUUUUCCUUUCUUCAAACUGUCCUGUAUUUUUUUGCUGGCACUUGGGGAUUUUUACAAGGAUAUAUUAAUGAUGAGAUCUACAGAAGCAAAUAUCUGUAAUCAAUGUAUGUAUCAUUAUUAAUGGAGUAAGCAAGAUCUCUGUUAGUGUAGUGAUUGUGAGAGAGGAGAUCAGAGAAUGUAAUCUGACAGGUCUUGUCUUGCUGUGCUGCAGUGAAUGUAAUUCUGGCUGUGCAAAAUUAACAUUCACUUAAUAUUGUAAAGCGCUACGGAAUCUGUUGGAGCUAUAGAAAUGGCAAUAAUAACAAUAGUAUUAAUAAUAACAACUUAAGCAGCAAGUUCAUAGUUUGACCAUUUUAACUGCUUUGAUAAAUUGAUCAAUUGAGAAUAUUGUGUUAAUUUAUAUUUUAUUACUGUCUGUGUCACAUGGUUGACUAAAUAAAACAUAUUCUUAGAAGUAGGUUGCUUUUCUUUCAUAAAUAUAGGACGAUUACCCAAUAAUGAUUGAUAAUUUCUAUGAAUGCUAUAGACCUUAAACAGUAUACAUGUAAGGCAUCAUUUCCUGUAGAUUACUCUAGGAAACAGAAACUAUAUAAACAGAAUAAUAACUAAAACCCAACCGCAACCAAUCAUAAAACUAUGUGUUUAAAAUACCCCGUAUAAAAUAGAUAUUACUGUGUUUAUAAAUAACAUAUAAAACCAUGAUCUCGUUGAUAAGUUGAUUAAGUGCUAUACCUUGCUUAUUUUUUUCAUUGUGAUACAGCGGAGAUGCUUUUCCUGUUAACAGUUUGUCGUAUUGUUUUGUCGUCCAUUGUUUUGAAAUGAACGAGUGUAAAAGUUGUGCAUGUUUCCUGUAUCGAUAACACAGAGUAAUUGGUCCAGUUUCAGUUUGUUAUCUUCUUGGCAUUGAGAAACCCUGGCUGUGGUGUAAUUUAGAUCUCCUAUGAAGGCUAAGGCGAAAUGAUGGUUUACUGGAGAGAUUAGGACUUAAUUCAUUUUAUUGUUAUUUAUGUCACUUGAGUGUUUAAAGGCAGUUUUGUUGUGUUAUCCUUAUGUGGGACGAGAUAGGAAAACGUUGGAUGAAAAAACAUUUUGGCACUUAAUCUGUUAAAGAGCUCUUAUUAAACCUACUCAAUAAAUAUAGCACUAAUUGAGUGACAUCACUGGGUUGCAUUGUAUGAAACCAUUAUCACUGCAGUGCAUCAUGACCGCUUCCUGCAGAAUUUAAGGACAUGACUCAUGUCUUCAUCCGUUUGUGGAUCCUCUGGAAUCACAUGGAGAUGACACUGGACAGUUUUCAAUGAAAUACACGAAACAUGACGUAUAAGACUUUUUAGAGACGCAGACUAUGAUUUAUAGGAUUAUUUAUUUACUAAGCGAGGAUAUAUAGAGAAUUCUACAGGCAAUUUUACAAUUGAAACGUUUCCCAAAUCAUAUUUCCAUUUUGGAUAUUUUAGCCUACAAUUUGACAUUCACCAGUGAAUAAUGUGUCCAAUACUCAUGGCUGCUUUAAGGCCCAAGUGGGCACUGGAAAAAAAGUUUUACACUUCCUCACUAACUGUAUAAAAUAUGUAGUUGGGCCUUAAAAUUAUUUUUAUUUUUUUAAAUAAGGAAAACCUAUAUGAUGAAUCUAGCACGCAAGGCACAAUCACACUGUAUAAAAUUGGCCUGACCAUUGGGGGUCAUCCUUUAACAGGUCAUUCUAAACACCAUGGCGCAUGGAUCUUAGAAAAUCUUGUCUGAGAGUGGCUUAAAUCAGUACACGAGCAGGGCUGUCAAUCAAGCAGCUUGGAACAGAUAGUUAUCAGUUGCUUAUAUCAAUUAUCGAUUUUUGGUCUACUUUGCAUGCAGCAUGUGCACACUACACAGUAGGGAAGGCAAUCUCAUUCUCUCAUACCUGUAAUGCCAUACAGUGAGCUGGGCUGUGUGCUAACUAACUCCAACCAUGGUAUGGAGGCUGCUGUCAAUCUAUAAAACUGUUUCAAUCAUCCUAUGUCAUAUGUGUAACUGCAGGUAGUGGGAAAAGCCACUUUCACAUAAAUGCCUACAGGGAAGAGGAUUACGAGAUAAGAUCAGUCCCUAUAGACCAGAAAGGGAGUCUGAUUGAGCAGUGCACCUUUUCUAUUUUUGUAUUUGCUUUAUUUUGCCAAUAUUAUAUGCAUGAAUAAUGACAAUUUUAAGUAAAGAAUGAUUUUGAAAGUACAAAAAAUGUCCAUUCUCUUUAUAUCAUUGAAUGAAAUCUAUAUAUCCCAGAUCUGAAAAGGUCUCCAACAAGACAUAAACAGACACUUUAGGUACUUCAGUUUAUUAAAGUGGUUAUGGUGCCAUAUCUCUGUUAUUAGUAUAGUAUGAGUAGAAAUGCUAAGAAUCUGUUGUGAAGUCUGCGGGCUGAUUUUGGAUGGCAUCAAACAGAUUAAAUAAAGUGGAUAAAAUCUGGGGUGCAACAAAGGGUUACACCAUAAGGCAUGAAUAGGGAUAGGAACUCAGAAUUAGGGAUCAACAAAGCCAGCGUGCCGGAGUCAUUGACGAAAUUUUGCCUGCUUGGGAAUGUGUCCCAGGCAGGGCAAAUCAAAGAAGACUUCAGGAGGAGAGCAGUCGGUGCAGAGGAUGGCCAGCAGGUGGGUGUUAAACGAAGAGUAACACGCUGAAAUGGAAGAACAAUUUGCAAACUUUUAUAUUUUACAUUGAAUACACCAUGUAUCUUUUUUGAUAUAUGGUGCAUUCAGAGUGUAUGUGAGUGAUUUCUGAUUCAUUUUUUCACAAGUUCAUUUUAACACACAGAUCACUAGCAGUUUGAGCUUUGAUUUGAUUGGAGAUAGAACACCCUUUCUGAGAUUGCAUGUUUAUUAAAUAAAGAUUCAAUGUUUUUUCACAAUUCUAGCGUCAGUAUGAAAAGGAUGCACAACUUAGUUCCUUGUUGAAAUGGGGAAUGAAGUGUAAAGUACAAGAUGUUGAGUUUACGUAAUAAAAUCUUUGAAGUAAAAGUCACGGUUUGGGGUAUAUUUACAUGCUUAUAGGGGGAGAAAGAAUGCAGACUUAAUACUUGAGGCAGUCAUCAUUUCUGGUUUAGGCUGACAGACUUGCUUGGCAAUCAUGAAUCUUUCAGUCAUAUAUUUGCUUCAGGAUGUUAUUUUCUUAAACUUCAACUCUUGCUUUAAUAACUCGCAUGCAGCUGCCUUAGAUCUCAUAACAAUCAUUUAAAAAAUCAUAAGUAAGCACUGCCACAAACAGUCAUAUAUCCAUUCUACAUCAUAAAGUAUUUAUUAUAGGAACACUGCAAGCACCAUGACAACUGCAGCCCACUAAAUGGCCGAGAGCCAUUGCAUGGCCCAGAACAAUGACAGGAAUUGGUCUGGACAUGUGAAACUUUCCAAGUCGGCUCCUGUAUUGGGCCGCGUUUCUAGUUUGGCUAACAUAGCCUAAAAUGUGCAAUAUUCCUGUCAGUUCCCAACAAUUCAAAGUUUAGUGAAUAAACAUGCUUGUCGAUAUACACUAGUCAACCACAACAUUAAAGCCAUUGACAGGUGAAGUGACUAACACGGAUUAUAUCAUUACAAUGGCACCUGUCAAGGGAUGGGAUAUAUUAGGCAGCAAGUGAAAAGUCAAUUCUUGAAUUUCAGUUGAAGUGUUGGAAGCAGGGAAAAUGAGCAAGCGGAAAAAUAUCUGAGUGACUUUGACAAGGGCCAAAUAGUGAUGGCUAGAUGACUGAGUCAGAGUGUGGGGUGUUCACGGUAUGCAUUGGUUAGUACCUACCAAAAGUGGUUCAAGGAAGGGCAACCAGUGAACCCGGAUGAGGUUCAUGGGUGCCCAAGGCUAGCCUGUUUGGUCCAAUCAUUCAGAAAAGCUAUUGUAGCUCAAGUUGCUGAAACACUUAAUGCUGGCCAUGAUAGAAAGGUGUCAGAAUACAUAGUGCAUCUCACAUAUGAGACCUACACAAUACUAGGCAGGUUGUUUUAACGUUGUGGCUGCUCAGUAUAUAAUGACAGCGAGAAACACAGAAUAGAUAGACUCUAGAAUAAUAAAGGAUGCAAAUCAAAAUUUCACCAUAACUGGAAAACCAUGACUUGAUCAUAGGCAAUAACAUUUUAUCAGUACAUUGGGCCCUGAUAGGUUCAAGGCAUGACCUCUCCCCAAAGAAGGAGUGUUUUACAUGUAGCAUGUACAUAUUUUUGGGGAUGACAGUGUGCAUUUCUAUGUCAUGUGUAAAAAUAUUAAUAUUGUAGGGGUAUAUAUGUGAUAUGCAAGGGUUUAUAUUUAUGUUAUUUCUGUGUAUGGAUUCAGAAGAUAUUUGUAUGACGUGCGUGGUUAUAACUACUGAGUGGAUGCAAAGGGUAUUACUGGGAAAUAUCUGUAAAAAUCAGAACCUUUUGUUUUGGCUUUCACUAUUUCCUUCCACAGCUGUAUCUCUCCAUAUCUUUCAUGUAUGGCUCUUCUCCACUCCCUAAUGUUUGAACCUCAUUAACUUUCCCUCAGUUAUUUCAGUUCACCAGUAAUUCAUGACCCAUUAUUGUUUCUCUCCCCUAUUUACCCACUUGUAUCAAUGCCCCACUCCUUCUUGUUGAAGCGCCAUCUCCAAAUUCACCUGCCAUCUCAAUGACAUCCAAGACGAAAGGCCCUUUAGCCUAAGGACACAGACUCGUAUUUAUUGUGAAAGGUACGUUUUAACUGGGAAGCCAGAAUUGUGUCAAGUUCCACUUCUUGCUCACAGUAUGCAAUCUCAUUACUGGUACCACACAUGAGUUAAUAAAAGUGGACUUCAUUGUACAACCGCUGAAGAUGUAACAUGUGACUUCUUUCCUUCUAAUACAAAAAAGAGGGGGAAGAAAUGCAUUGCUUUCCAAACAAGUCUGCUUCUAGGUAAAUGUUGCUGCAGUUUGGGUGUGUCCGUUGCUGCAGUUUGGGUGUGUCUCUUCCGUUAAACAAUGGUAAUAUUUUAAAGCCCACUUACAUUGUUGACUCUAUUCAGCUUUUGUGCAGAAGCUAAAUAGUUCCUCCCAGGUUCUAUUAUAUCAGCGAAUACGUGAUUUGUUCUAAAUAAUGUAUUAUUUGAAGGCAUUGUAAGCUGCAAGAUUUAAAGAUAUUAUCUAAUACAACUUUGCACUACCUGGUCAACUGAAAAUAAACAUGAAACAAUGAACCUGUUUAUACUUGUACAAUCUCUAAAGGUUCCAUAUUUUAUUAGGAUCACGUUCCUUUAUAACAUAUUAUGAAAAGUAUGUAAAAUUCAAUAAUAAUCAAUAUGUGAGCCAGUAAAAUACUAAAAAGUCUGCUUAGUAUCAGUCAGGGCCGCCAUCAGGGCAUGACAAUCGCAACGGUUGUCAUGGGCCCGGUGGUCCUGGGGGGCCAGGACUGCUCAGGUCGUCCAGGCCCCACAUUCAGUGGGUACAUACCGGGUUCGCAGGGGGUCCUGCGACCCUGGUAUGUACCUACUNNNNNNNNNNNNNNNNNNNNNNNNNNNNNNNNNNNNNNNNNNNNNNNNNNNNNNNNNNNNNNNNNNNNNNNNNNNNNNNNNNNNNNNNNNNNNNNNNNNNCCCUGUGAACAAACUCAUUGGUGGAACAUGAAGGGGGACCCUGGGACCCAGACCUUGAACUGUGUAAAGGGCCCUCAAAAAAAUUGAGCUGCUUCCCGUUCUCCCAGAACAGUGAUUUUUGUGACCACAGUUACAAACCGCCUCCAGAGAGCCUGUUCUACACCAGACCAGUGGAGCCAGAUGGCAGCUAGAGGCCAUCAUCAUCCUUAUCUGGUUGUAAAUAGGCAAUCUAGUAUAUUAUUCGUGGCACUAAUCUCUAAUUUACCUCACAUUAAAGGGACACUAUAGUCCCCAGAACCACUGCAGCUUAAUGUAGUGGUUCUGGUGUCUAGCCUGUCCCUGCAGGCCUUUUAAUGUAAACACGGCGGCACUGCAGCACUGGUGUUAGUUAACAUGGCAGAUCAUAUGGGUGGGGCAUUGUGAUGUCACAUGGGGGGCGGCAAACUUUACUUUUGCCUAGGGCCGCAAAAAUCCUUGCACCGGCCCUGCAGACACUGCAUCCCUGUGGGCGGAUUUGGGGGGGAGGCAGCACUUUGGGCGGACUCAGGUGCAGGCACCGGGGGGCCCAGACCUUGAGCUGUGUCAGGGGCCCCAAAAUGUCUGAUGGCAGCCCUGGUAUCAGUGUAAAACUUGUAACUAUAGAGUGUUUUUUCCUUAUUUAUAAUUGCAUGAGAUAAUUUUAUUAAAGUAUGCUAUAACUAGCCUUGCAAACACAAAUUUGUUUUAUUCUGUAAAGAGUAAAUGGUGUUGAUUAGAACAUUUUAGGACAAAAUAGCUGAAAAAUUUCUUCAACUUAUUUUUAUUUCCCUUUUGGUGCCAGGGUUGAAAAAAAUGAAACACCAAAAUGCAUUGUAGGGAAUUUGUGACUAUAUUCAUGAAUGACACAACAUCAGACAUUGAAGCAUACUACUAACCUCAAUAAAAAAAAAUAUUAAAAAAAGGCAAAGCAUAGUUAAAAUAAAAGAAGCAAUGUAAAUGUCUAACAGUCCAGCAAAUCACAUUGGUUCUUUAGAUAUUCUAGAUAUGCUGCAAAUAAUGUAUUGUAACAAACCAACUCUUGUACAGGUAGGAUUUUGUCACAGAUCUUACAAUAAACCACAGCCUUCUAGGGUAUGCAAAGUCCAGGACACAUUCAGUUCGGUUUUCCUUUUUUAUUUGAUAGGAAAAACAGCUGCUUUAUAUAAUAAUAAACAAAACAAAAUCCCUUGCUCUUACUAGACAGAAAUCACUAUCUGUAAUUGAGUGGCUUUCCCACUUACCAAUUUUCCACAAAAAAAACAAAAUAGCUUUGCAAUAAAAUCAAUCCAAUCCAAUCCUCUCCUCUCUUCUUUUAAAGGCCUGUCUGCUAAUUGACCAGCUACAGGUGAGUGCCAAUUAGUUAAAGGGACACCGUAGGCACUGUAUCUGCUUCAUCUCAUUAAACUGGUUAUAGUGUCUGGAGUCUUCUGGUCCCAUCUUUUCUAUCAGCAUUAAACAGUUUUUAAAAUUUUAAUGUUUUAAUGCUAAACAAGAGUCCCCGGCAAUCCAUCCCCUCUGUGCUGCUUUGGCUAAUAAGGAAGUAUUAGCCUGAGCAGAAAUGGGCAGCUGUGAUUGGCUGAGAGUGUCAGCUGACUGCUUUUAGCCUGUCAGAGCCCCAACUGACGGUAUGAAUGGGUAUGACAACAAGGAAGUGUGUAAUCUCUGCCUUAGCUACACAUACUGAAGGGGCCGGACUGUGGGUGGCCAGGGACUCUUAUUUUGUGGCCUACUGCACGAACAUGGUGCAACACUGAAUGGAGGGACAGUGCCAGGGUACUCCAGGCACAAUAACCAAUUCAUAGAGAUGAAAUGCUUAUAGUGACUACAGUGUCCCUUUAACUCUUAAGUUAACCCCUUAAGGACACAACUUCUGGAAUAAAAGGGAAUCGUGACAGAAUAUUUCCGUCAUGUGUCCUUAAGGGGUUAAAUCCAAAUUGUGGUCUGUUACACAGCAACUAGUGCUGUUGGAGCAUUGGCCCACUCUGCUCUCCAAAUACUCCGCCCCAGGGACCCAUACCGUGUUUUGCAGAACAUCAGCAAUGUAUAUUGCAAACUUUAACAUCUCUCCCUGGGGCAUUUAACUGAAAAUCCUCAGGUUGCUGUUUAGCAAAUCAGGCCUGAUAUAUCUUCCAUCAACCACUAUUCCACUUUUUCGCUCACAGUAUAUAUGUAUAUAUUUUAUUUUUCAUAAAAUUUAUGUUUGGUUUGUAUCUUUUCAUGGGAAAUUUUAGAUAAGGAAGCCUUAAAUAUAUAUUCUGUUUAUGGGUGUUUUUAUUUUAAUACGGAGACGGUCCUGCCAGCAAAUUGGAAAACCCAUUGGCACAUGUCUUUAAGGCAUUGGGGCAAUAUGGAUGAUAUGAUUGCUGGGCACAAGUUUAGUUAUUUGGAGAUUGGGUACUACUGAUAUAAAACAAGGAAGAUUGUGUAAAAAUGAUUGGUGUAAUGAAAACGUACAACCUGUGUGCCGUGUUAUUUUUGGUUUGCUAUUGUUUAUAGUCUGCUGGACUCUUUCCAGUUGUUGUUGAAGUACAUUUUCCAUAGCUCUCUGCCAGCAAAUGGCCAGAGGAGCAGGUUUGGAUCUAGAAGCUGCCACUAAUGAGGCAUUGUAUAGCGGCUAAAACAACAGAUUACUAAAUUGUGCUCCCCCUUAUGUCGCUGCUCAGAUGUUUGGAUUUUUAGUCAUCUUUAUUUUUGUUUUCCAAUUGUCUGUAGCUAUUUAAUCAGUGUCCUAUGACCUAUGUUACAUGCAUUCUAAUCAUAUUAUAUACACUGGCUCCCCAAUCCAUGCUAUAUGUCUCCAUAUUUCAUGUUAACUCUUAUUUAUUCUAUUAUGAUUAUGAGUUCAUGAUUCUAGCCUUACAAGUGUUCCUGCCCAGUGUUCAUGUGCCACAUGCUUGCCCUUUUUUCCCCCAUGUGUUUUCCAUGGACUGAUUUUCUGGUAUCACCCAGAAUUUGGAUAUUGACCUUGCCACUAGCAUCAAUUCAAGCUGCAGCAUCUAGCAUGUAAUUGUUCAGACUCAUGGAUGCAAGAGUUGAAAAUAGAUUCUUACCCUGUGAUGAUGCAAUGUAAGACCGGUGCUUGGAUGGAACACCGAGGCACUAUUAAGUUGUUAUGGUGCCAGGAGGUCCCUGGUGCUGGCUUACCUUCAGGGGUUAAACCGUUCAUGGAUGGUUUAACCCCAAACUCUCCUCACCAAUGCUGGACCACUCUGCCCCUCCAACAGUGGUCUGAGUGAAUUUAGUGUCCCUCUAAUUACAGUAAAAGUAGGAUUAUUCAGGAUUACUGAUCAUGCAUAUUAUCUUUUACAAUAUUAUUUUAUUGCAUUUAUUUAGAUUAAUUAAGGUCUGCUAUAGGCAAUAUGCCAAUUUAAAUGUUUAUUACUAUAUAACUGGUAUUAUUAUAACCAUUAUUGGUAUUAUUAGCAUGCAUUUAUCCAGAGUUUAUUGGGGGUUAUGCACCUUUUUCUGAACGUGUAUCUUUUUAGGGGACAUAAAGCAUGCUUUAUUCCAUGUAAUUUUAUAAUAAAGCAUGUAAUCAGAGUCUUUAUUUACAUGUCAGGUUAACAUAAUUGCAGACAUAAACAAUUAUAUUUUGGCUUUUGGCAUGUGCUAAGCACCAUGAUAAUCCUAGCCUAUCAUCACACAUAAUGUCUAAGUUAUGCACCAGAUGUGGUUGUUUUGGAAAGGACUUGGGGUUUUAAACUAUUUUGGUAAGAGACGCAAAUUAGGCUGACGUGCUGUAACAACAAAUGUGACUGAUUUAAAUCUGCCAUGUGUGGGACUAUUUCUGGAAGCAGGGAACUGAACUUAAAGGACUACAAAAGUCACCUAGUCCACUUCAUCUCACUGAAAUGGUGUGGGUACUGUCCUGUCAUUUUAACCCUUCAAGUUAAAAUGUUAGCAUUUUGCACAAAAGCCAAUGGUUAACUUGCAGGGUUAAACCAGUCUCUAAUGGCUGUCGUUCUGACAGCUGCUAAAUGCAAUUCCAUUGCAACGACCAAGGAAAACAUGGUCAUGUGACUUCGAUGUCGAACAUAAUCAAUUACAACUCAUAGGAAAAGUAUUAAAUUCACUGCUUUCCACUGGGGAACCUUAGACGUGCGUGUUGGAGCAUUUGAUUGGAACUUUGCUGGAGGUAGCCAUGCCUAAUGAAUUAAGUCGCGGGAGGAGAAGAAAAAAUAAAAUGUAGAUAAAAACCUUUUAUCUACUAAUUUUAUGUGAAUAGGGUGGUAUUCACUAAAUGAAAUAGGGACACUGUAGCGUUAGAAAUAGAAGUUUAAAUUCCUAACGCCUAAGUAUUCCUUGAAAACUAUUUGGUGCAAUAAUACAGAGAAACAUGAGUAUACUAUUGGUGGGAUUGGCUGAACUCCUCUGUUGUUUAUAGCAGUAUCGCCAUUUCCAUCAUCCUGUUGACCGACUUCAUGCUUAGCCAGGUUAUAACUAAGCUCUUUCUAAUCAGCAACAAAUGUUCCUAUUUUAAAAGUGUUUACUAAAGGCUUAGCAGCAGUUUAAAGAUGCCUGGGUACUUAACCAUUUAUAUGCUUAAUUAAAAUGGGUCAUAAAGACCUUUAUUUAAAAAAAAAAAAUCAAACAGAUGAUUCAUAACUGAAGAAGUAAUAAUAAUAAUAAAAAUGAUAAUCACAUAAACACAUAAUAGUUUCAUACGAUUUAAUCCAUGUUGAUGGCGUGAAUAUAAGCGAACCUGAAAAAGGGGACUGUCAAAUAAAACACUGAAAAUCACCUAUAACUUCUAUUAACAUGUGGUGUUCAGUUUUUUUAAUCAAUGUUAAAGAUAUAGCAAUUGACAUUAUUAUCUAGUUCAAUCCUGAACAGUUCAGGUACAGCCAAGGCACACUUGGCAUUAGAGGAGGAGAAACCAAAACAGUUGGAAAAACACCUAGUUCAUAAAAGCGUUCUGUCAAGUGUCUUUUUGGGGGUUCAAAAUAUUUCCAAUUUACUAGAGUGAAUUAAACGUAGUAAAAGCAUUAACUUUUUUUUUUCUCAUAGAUUUUUUAAUUUUGUUGCUCCACAAUUAUGUCACACAAACUAAUAGUGGAAAAGAUUAUCACAAUUAAUAAUUGCAACCAGAAAAAAAAAACCAGGAAAGGUACAAAUUAUUCAUCAACACUUCGAUAAAUAUCCCCACACUGAGUUCCAGGAUAGAUGAAAUUUACUCUGAGCUGAACAUACUAUACAUAUAUUUAUAUACAAUAAAACAAGCAGGGCACAUCAGAAAUAUAUUAAAAAAAUACAGAGACCCGAGUACAAUGCAGAAAUAACUAUUUCACAAACAGAGCUGAGAAAAAAUAGAGAUAUAAUGCACAGAGCUGGGCACAACACAAAGAUACCUAUAUAAUGCACAGAGCUGGGUAGACUACAGAGAUACUAAUACAGCAGGUAGAGCUGAGUAAAAUACAGAUAAAUAACACACAGAGCAGGACACAAUAAAAAGAUACCCAUAACUAUCCCACAGAGCCAGAAUCACCAUUAAGGAUUACACAGAGCUGCAAAAUAGAGAUCCUCACACAUUACAUUUGUCUAGCUUAGCUUCCUAUUAAAGGAGUACUAUAGGGUCAGGAACACAAACAUGUAUUCCUGACCCUAUAGGGUUAAAACCACCAUCUAGCCCCCCUGUCCCCCUUAUGCCUCCCUAAAUAUAGUAAAAUCUUAGUUGUAUUCAAGCCCGAAGCUGCUGGCUUUGUCCCUGACAUCAGCAGAAGUGGUAGCCUGAUACAAUCACAAUGCUUCCACAUAGGAUUGGCUGAGACUGACAAAGAGGCAGUUCAGGGGCAGAGCCAGCACAAUUCAAACACAGCCCUGGCCAAUCAGCAUCUCCUCAUAUAAAUAAAUUGAAUCAAUGCAUCUCUGUGAGGAAAGUUCAGUGUCUGCAUGCAGAGGGAGGAGACACUGAAUGUUUGGAUGCAUUUUAGGCAGCCAUGACCAGGGCCAGAUUAACAUAGGGGCUGGUGGAGCUGCAGCUCCAGGCCUGGGCCCAGGCCCAGGCCCAGGCCUAGGCCCAUGGAAUAGGCCCAUUGAUUUAAAAAAAAAAAAUUAUUUUUUUUUUAUUUUUUUUUACACACACACUGCCAGGUAUUUCUAAUGUAUUUCUUAUGGUUGCCAGAUAGUUCUCAGAAGUAUUUCUCAGGUAUUUGAUGCUGCCUAGCUGGUGCCGGUAUUGCAGUAAUAACGGCAAUACAAAUGUCUAUCUCAGUAUAAACAGAGAUUAUUCUGCAAUAGCAGCGCCGGCGAGUAGGGGUCGCUGUUUGUGUGGAGAGAGGCAGGGAUAAGAAGUUACAGCACCUUCCUUCCUGCCUCUCUCUACUCACUGAUCCAUGGGGGAUCAGCUCUGCACAGAGAGUCCAGACAGCAGCUCCGAGCCUGCAAGACAUGGGGACGCUGAGACAUUGGGACACUGGGAGACAUAGAGACACUGGGGAACAUGAGGACCCUGAGACACUAGGGACACAGUGGCCCCAUGUCUCCCAGUGGCCCCUAGUCUCUCACUGUCCCCAUGUCUCCCAGCCAGUGUCCCUAGUGUCUCAGUGUCCCCAUGUCACCCAGUGUCUCUCAGUGUCCCCAUGUCUCCCAGUGUCCCUGGUGUCUCUCAGUGUCCCUAGUCUCCCAGAGUCCCCUAGUCUCCCAGAGGCCCUAUGUAUCUCAGUAUCCUGAUGUCUCUCCCAGUGUCUCAGUGUCCCCAUGUCUCACAGUGGCCCAAUGUCUCUAAGUGUCCCUUAUUGUCCUAGUGACACCGGGACACUGGGAGACAUGGGGAAACAGACUCUAAGGGACACUGGGAGACAUGGGGAUACAAACACUAGGAGACACUGGGCGUCAUGGGGACACUGAGACACUAUGGGACACUGAGAGACAUGGGAACAUAGGGAGACAUGGGGACACUGGGCGACUUUGAGACCUGGUAUCUCAGUAUGUCUCCCAGUGUCCUUGGUGUCUCUCAAUGUCCGUAGUGUGCCAGUGUCCCUAGUGUCUCAGUGUUUCCUAGUCUCCCAAAGUCCCCUAGUAUCCAAGUGUCUCAGUGCCCCAAUGUCUCCCAGUGUCCCCAUGUCUCCUAGUAUCUCAGUGUCCCCUAGUAUAAAAGAAAAAUUCUCAGGCACUCAAUGUGAUAGAUUUAAGCAGGUUUAUUGGACACCGCACCCUCCUCCCCCCUUUUUCCUUUCUUUUUUCCCCUCCCUCUGUUAUCUUUCUAUGGUAUUCUUAUGUUUUAAUGAAGCUAAAAGGCUACAAUUACCGGAGGACAAUAACAUAAUAUGUUUAAGCAAAGCUUUGAUGUCAAUCUAGGAAAAAUAGUUGUACAUUUUCGUAUAGCAAUUGUUUACUCUGUUAUAUGAAAAUGUUACAGUUUUGAUAUUAUAUGCAUUGAUAACAUUCUCUAAUAAAAAUGAUCUAUGAAAAAAAAAAAAAAAAAGCAGCCUUUACUUUGAAAAUCCUGCAGGGACAGACUGUACAAAACAAAACCACUGAAUUAACCCCUUAAGACCGGAGGGCGUACUAUUACGCCCUAUUCUAAGCGGCUCUAAAUGCCGCCAGGCAUAAUAGUACGCCCUCCGGUCUUUUCCUACUUACCCAGUCGCCGGCGAUCCCACGCCGGCGAUCGCGGUUGGGGGGACUCACAGGGAGCCCCCCGCAGCAUGUCCGACGUCCUGGAAGCCCCCCGGCCAUGUGAGAGUGGGGUCCUUGCCAGUGGCCAGUGUUUGUGACCAAAGGGCUACUAAAAAAGACUGGACAUACUCCAUUUGCAAUACCUUGGGUUGUCUACUAUUGCAAAUGGUAUGCCAUUAUGGGUGUAAAUUUCAUUCCUGGGCUACUAUACAGUCUCAAAGGCAACGUAACCAAUCUGGCGAAUUUCAAUUUCAAAUGUAACGUGCUAUAUUUGAGCCUGUAACUUCCCAAAACGCCAUAAAACCUGUACAUAGGGGGUACUGUCUUACACGUGAGACUUUACUAAAUACAAAUAUGUGUAUUUUAUUGCAGUAAAAGCAAACAGUAUUAUGACACUGACCGUUAAAAUGUCAUGUAGAACUAAAAAAAUAAAAAAAAAUCGUAUUUUCUCCCAUUUUUUUCAUAUUAAAUUAUGUUUCAUAGCUAAAUAUUUGAUAUUAAAUGAAAGCCCUGUUUCCCCUGAAUAAAAUGAUAUAUAUAAUAAGGGUGGGUGCAUUUACUAUGAAAGAGGUGUAUUACGGUUGGACAGACAUGUAGCGCAAAUGCCAGGUUUUGUUUACAUUUUGUUUUGUUCACAACGUGUACAUUUGGCUCCGUCCUUAGGGGGUUAAACUCUGGUGACUAUAGUGUCCCUUUAACUAUAGGAGAUAAGUAACCAUAAUGUUAAAAAUCCUGGGAAUUGACUGUUCCCCUUUACCACAUCAUACCAAGCAAGGUGAAAGUAAAACCCAAACUAAAGAACCGAGGACACUGAUGGAUUUAACAUUGUUCCUUAAGUGCUCCACAGUGUAUUACACAUAGUAGCCCGGAUUACUGCUAAAUCCACUUAAACAAAAGCUCCACUAAAUUGCAGGAGGGGAGGUGACUGUGACACAUUUUGGAUUUGCUUCAUGUGUGAAUCUGGAAAUCUGAGUUUUAUGCAUUAGAGCUUUGUUCUCUGUGUAUCCAAAGUAACAUAAUUUGAGUCCCAUAGAAAAAAAACCUCGUCUAGGAGGUCCAUUAAAAUCCAGGAUAUUAUCAGUCAGGUGUGAGAAAAUCCUAUGAUGAAUUGAAGGCUUUCCCUUUACUGUAUUGUUGUUAUGUGGUAUAUUAUAAUUGCCUCAGGUUUUGGGCAGAUUUUCACGGAUUUAGUCAUGCUUCAGGUAUCAAUAACAAGUAACUUGUUACAACAAAAUUUCUGUUUUAAUCCUUAAAUGGUGAUACAAUGCAAUUUGUUCAUUACAUGAACACAUGAAAGUCUUGAGAACCUGCAUUAGUUACUUUACAAUAUUCUUGUAGUUUUGUAUUAAAUAAUUAUUAUUAUAUGACCCACUAAAUCCAGUGAUUUUCUCUCUAAUCCUUUGCCCAUAGUGCAACAGUAAGACAAUGUAGCAGUAAAAUGCUCUAUAUAUCCUGUGGCAUUGCCAAGGCUUGUGCUUGAACUGCCAGGAAUGUAUGUAAUAGGCCCCAGUGACAAUCCAGGCAGCUUAACAUAAAAUAGUGUUAUAUUACCAUGGAUUAAUGGGUUUGGGAAUGAAACCAAGUUUAUUUCAUUCACAGCCAUCAGAAUAAACAAUGUAGCAUGUUAAUUAAAAGCAUUCAUGUCUAGGUGUCAUUAGACAAUAGAGCAUGAAAACCUGUCUCUAAGUUUUCUUAGUAGUUUUUUAAACAUUAACUUCUAAACAAAAGAGACAUGUUGUGCACCAACACAUGCACUUGCGCAAGCACGCCAUUUAAAGGACCACUAUAGGCACCCAGACCACUUCAGCACAAUGAAGUGGUCUGCCAGGUCCCUCUAGGUUUAGCCCUGCAGCUGAAAACAUAGCAGUUUCAGAGAAACUGCUAUGUUUCACUGAGAGUCAAUCCAGCCUCUAGUGGCUGUCUCACUGACAUUCGCUAGAGGCGCUUCCGCGAUUCUCACUGUGAAAAUCACAGUGAGAAGACGCUGGAUGUCCAUAGGAAAGCACUGAGUAAUGCUUUCCUAUGGACUGUUUCAUUGCGCGCAUGUGCAUUCGGAUCUGGCGUCUACAUGGGGUGGAGAGUUCCCCAGCGCAGAGGGAGGUAAGUGGUUGAAGGGGUUUUAACCACUUCAGCUCGGCGGGAGGGGGGUUCUGAGGGUGGGGGGGACCUAAUGACCCUAUCAUGCCAGGAAAACGAGUUUGUUUUCCUGGCACUAUAGUGGUCCUUUAAGCAGUACAAGUAGGCAAUUUAAUCACUUAAAAAGUAUUUAACGCCAGACAUUAUCCAUAGUCUAUAUAUAUUCACUUUUCUGCUCUGUGUUUAUUUUUCCCCAGUCUAUUAUUCACACUUGGCAACAUUUAAAUAAAAAAAUUUUAAAAAACACAUUGCUCUAUGAGGUCUCUCAUAAGAAUUUCACAUUGAGCAAUGAAAUACUUAGCUCAUCAAUAUUUUCAGGCCAAGGCAUCUGUCAUGUAAUGGCGGUAUUUACAGGCCAUAGCGUGUGGAGUAACUCCUUUCCCAUACCAUUUGCAUGUAUGAAAUUACCUGUGUACUCUUCCUUUAAUGUUAUUUUUUAGUAGCUUGGGGCUCAUGAUAUUCUCCACCGCAGCCUUCAACACGAACUGUUUAGUAAAGUUUUUGGUAUUUUAAGGUAGCCAUUUGCGUUAUUUUCAUAUUUUUUAGCAUGGCUUGUGCUGUGUACAUUUUACUACAGAGCAAAUAUAUGUUGAUAGAUUAAUUCCCUGCUGUAUAUAUUCUACUGAAAUGUAAAAACCCCUUAAACACUAUUUAGUGAAUGAAUAACCAAUAGUAUUUAAGACAUUAAAUCCCAUUCUUAGUGUAAUCACUUCCCACCAUUUCCAAUAAAUUGUAUCCAUGACACUUGUCUCAGCAAGACAACUGGCUGUUAGUGAAUGUACUUCAGUAAUAAAAUCCUUAGUUUUUCAUUGCAGUACAGAAUAUAGCAGAGGAUGAUUCGAACCCUCACCAAUGUACGGAGUUAAUCUGUUUGGUAAUAAUUAAAAUUUCUUUGAGUUUGCCGGGCACUGCUCCCUACCUGUUCUCUAGCCAGAAUAUAUCUGCCUGUGCUAGGCCUUGCACUACAGUGCCCAGUUCAGUGCAGCCAUCAGCUGAUGCUCUCAGACAAUGAACUGACCCUGCACUGCAGGGCUUAGUACAGGAGUGCUUAUGGAAUAUCCUAGCAAGAGGAUUAAGUACUAAACAGUUUGACUACUGACAUUGGGGAGGAGUUAUAGCACUCCAGACACCAUAACCACUAAUGCAAGCUGAAAUGGUUAUGGUGUUUAGAAUUUUCUUUAUUACAUUUUGAUACACAGGGACUGACAGUUCUGUGUAUCUGCAGGCUGCCUUGCUUACUUGUUACACAGCAGCACAAAGCUCCCAUUGAUCCGAGUUGACCCCAUGUCAUGUUUAAUGGCAGCAACCUAUAUAAAUAUAAUCAUAUGGAAUUACUAUAAUCAUAGAUGUGUGCAGCACAUUUCUUUAGGGUGUGCAUCAGGGACCAAUUUUGAAUAUAAAGAAAAUAUUUAUUAAAAACGCAAGCAUCAAAAGAAUAAUUUUUAUUCAUCAAACAAGCUAAAACGUAGCUAAACUGCAUUAUAUAUGCUACAAACUGAAGAUAUAUAUCACAAAUUUUUUAAAAAAAUGAAACCAUUUUUGAUUUAAAAAGAACACAACACAAUUUACUAACACAAAUGUCAUUUCAUAUUGCCACAUAAGUACAGGUAGGGACUUAAAUGCAGGCAUUGUCUCAACUGUCUUCCACGCAUGCCACACAUGCCCAUUUUCUAGUGGACUUUCCUCACCUCACAUCAUGAUACUUGAUUGAAUUAUGGCUUUUAUAUUGAUUAGUCUAUUCAUCUUUUCCAAACAGCAUAAAAUUGUAGUUACUUUUAAAGUGCUUUAAUGUCUCAAAUGAAAAAUGCACUAUAUAUACAGAUUAUUAGGAUUGCGUGUUUUAGUAAAUAUGCACAUUUUAUUUUCAAAAAGUUUUUUAUGCUCAGUUUGUCAAUAAUAUUAAUAGCAAUAAUAACACUUUUGGAAUAUUUAAAACCUGCGUCUUACUUAACUUGUAGUAAAUGCUUGAUUGAAACACAUUACAACCUGAUUAUUAUGCUAAUAUUGUGAAAUAAUGUGAAAAGAUACAAAUACAUUUUAACAUAUCUUUACUUACAGCCACAAUAUUAUUGAACAGUGAAAGUGAAGACAAGUUGAGAACACACUAUUAGACAAAGAUGGGAAAGUAAAUGAGAUCAGUCAAACAUAGAGCAUAAACAUAGAGUAUAGACAUAUAGAGUGCAAACAUAGAGUAUAGACAUAGAGUAUAGACAUAUAGAGUGCAAACAUAGAGUAUAGACAUAGAGUAUCGACAUAUAGAGUAUAGACAUAUAGAGUGCAAACAUAGAGUAUAGACAUAGAGUAUAGACAUAUAGAGUGCAAACAUAGAGUAUCGACAUAGAGUAUCGACAUAUAGAGUAUAGACAUAUAGAGUGCAAACAUAGAGUAUAGACAUAGAGUAUCGAUAUAUAGAGUAUAGACAUAUAGAGUAUAGAUAUAGAGUAUAGACAUAUAGAGUAUAGACAAAUAGAGUAUAUACAUAUAGAGUAUAAGCAUAGAGUAGAUAUCAGUGGUAGAAAGAGGAUCCAGGCAAUCCAAGUAUCUUCAAUCUUAUUUAUUUGGAAAAGUGAGACACAGCAACAUUUCAACCACUGAAAGGGUCUUUGUCAAGCUUGGCAAAGACCCUUUCAGGGGUAGAAACGUUGCUGUGUCUCACUUUUCCAAAUAAAUAAGAUUGAAGAUACUUGGAUUGCCUGGAUCCUCUUUCUACCACUGAUAUCUACUCCCUGGCUCUGGUGCUGGCCCUUGGUCCAGUUUAGUACCCGGAUCUUCAUGUGAUUGGAGUGCGGUUCGUUUUUUUUCUCUUUAAACAUAGAGUAUAGACAUACCAUCAUACCAGGCUACACAGUAACACAGGGAAGGCAGCACGUGGUGAAGGACUGAAAUAUUUAGCUCUGUGCACUUUUCAAUGUAAGAAUGACUAAUAAGAUGGCUUACAUGGCUGAUUCACCACUGAUAAACACCUAUUUUUAUCAGUAUUAUUCCCAGCAGACUUUGAGGCAAAUUGUAUGCAUUAUUGACCGUGUUUCAGGGAAGCUGCAGAACAUCUGUCUAGUCGUUAUUCCAACUGAAUAUAUUUCAUACAACUCAUGAUACCAGUCACAAUUGGUGCCAUAAUAAAAGCCUUACCCACCAAUCUAUUUUAUUAUAGGAAAUCUAUAAUGCGUAUGCAAUGGGUGAUCAAGUGUUUGAAAUUUCAAAACACAGCAUGCAAGUACAUAAACUCUGUGAAACGGAACGGAUCUCCAUGAUGGUUUAAAUGCACUAAAACUGUAUAAAUUUAUUUAAACAUCCUCCCUAUCCCCAAAAGAAUGAAUAAAUAACUAUUAUAGGGAUAGAGAAACAUACUCAAUUGGCUAAGUCAAGUGAUGUAAUGUGAACAAUGCUUUCUACUUGUUUGUUUAUCUUUUUUUUUAUAGAAUCCUUUAUUAAGAUGCCAUUCUUCUUCUCCGUCUUUAAUUAAACAAUAUUCAAUGUGCUUUUGCGCACGGAUAAUACCCACAUGUGGUUUAUAAACACUAAAUAUUGUAGCUUAUCUUGGACAACCAUUAGUGUUCCACAUCAAAGCAUCGUCAAAAUAUUCCAUCUCAGCUUCCUCUGUUGAACGUGACAUGUAGAGAGUCAAAAAUCCCUGAAAGAAUUUUCUUAAACGCUCUUCUGCUACACUAUAACAGUUUUUUAUUUAUAUUUUCAUGAGGAUCUUAGCGUAAAGGUUAUAAACGAGAACUGCCCUUGUGUACUUUUUUUUAUUAUUCUUUUCCGUUCACAGAAGACUAGACUGAAAAGCACAGACUAUUUCAUAUAAAUGAGUUUGAGUUCUCAAUUUAAAAAAAAGAAAAAGAAAACAUUGUAGAGUUUGAACUUUGGGAGAAAUUCUAUUUUUUCUGGCAUAACAACAAGCAGCAGACAUAACCCCUUAAGCUUUUACAGCAGUGUGCACGGGUUUCUGCAAAGUCCAGAUGAAUAACUGCUGUUUGUUACUACAACACAGGAAAUCAAGAAAAGUUUGUUUCACUUGCCUGCACAGAGUUCCAGAGGAUUCAAUAUUUAUUAUAUACCUCAUCCCCACAAUCUACAAGCUGCUUUGGAGUGCUUCUCACAUGAGUCUGAAUGUAUAGAGCUCUGUGUUUGUUAGUGACCAUUUUCCUUUUUUAUAUAUUUAAUUGUUACCAAAAGUUUUACACAGUCUGCUUUUUUUCCUUUCUCCUAUAUGUGCUAAUGUGGAUUUUAUUUUCAAGUGUAGUAAUCAUAAUCUCAAUUUUAAAUGUGUGUACACUUUUAGAUAGGAUUUAUAUAUUUACACUGCACAAUUUUGGGAAGUGUGUAUUUUAGGCAGAGUGCACCUUAUUUAUGUAUUAUAAAUACACAUUCCAAAGCAGCGGUGUGCCCCAUUCCUGUGUAACAGGCAACUGGGGGGUGGCACCUGCCCUGGUGCCCCUCUACUCCAUACCAGUCCCUGCCUGUCAUAUUAAAGGAAUACUCAAAGCAGCAAAACAACUUUAGUUUAGUGAAGCCGUUUUUGUGUAUAGACCAUGCCUCUGAAGUCUCACUGCUCAGUUAUCUGCCAUUUAGGAGUUAAAUCAUUUCUGCUUCUGUUUACGCAGAAACAAAAAUGACAAAUCCCUUUGUUUAUUAACCCUAGUCACACCUCCCUGAAUGUGACUUGCACAGCCUUCCAAAAACACUUCCUGUAAAGAGAGCCCUAUUUAGGCUUUCUUUAUUGCAAGUUCUGUUUAAUUAAGAUUUUCUUAUCCCCUGCUAUGUUAAUAGCUUGCUAGACCCUGCAAGAGCCUCCUGUAUGUGAUUAAAGUUCAAUUUAGAGAUUGAGAUACAAUUAUUUAAGGUAAAUGACAUCUGUUUGAAAGUGAAACCAGUUUUUUUUUUCAUGCAGGCUCUGUCAAUCAUAGCCAGGGGUGGUGUGGCUAGGGCUGCAUAAACAGAAACAAAAUGAUUUAACUCCUAAAUUACAGUGAAUCGAGCAGUUAAAUUGCAGGGGAAUGAUCUAUAUACUAAAACUGCUUUAUUUAGCUAAAGUAAUUUAGGUGACUAUAGUGUUCCUUUCAGCUUCACUCUUCUCCAAGAAGGCUGCUCAGUGGUCUCAUAUAUAUUUAUUGCAUUUCAAAGAAGUGUAGCAAAGUGAGCAUUGCCAUAACAACAAGUGACGGACCUUGUCCGUCACCCGUUAAAAUUAACCCCGGAUCGCUGCUAUCGCGGCGAUCGCGGGGUUAAUGGUGCUCUGGUGUUCCUCUGUAUUAGAGGCAGACCGGGAGCACCCGAUAGUGCUGCCCCAGCACAUGUGCUCGCUCUGACAGCUUGUCAGAGUGAGCACAUGUGCUUAGUAUACUUACCUUCCGCCUCCCUGCACUUCCUGGUUCUGUGUGAAGUGCAGGGAGCCGGAACAGUGCUGAUCCUGCCCCCUGUUAAAAAAAUUAAAUAAAGUUUAUUUAAAAUCCCACCCCCCUUUACUCAUUUUAAUUAAAAAUUAACCCCUUCCCUGCCAAUUGAUCACUGACUACAGUGAUCAAUUGGUAGGGAUUACAUUUUACUGUCAUCUGAUUUUUUUUUAACCCCUGAGGGUUAAUUCUUUUUUUUUAUUUAACCCUCAUGGGUUAAAUUUCUUUAAUUAGUUAAUUUUAAAUAUUUUUAAAUUAUAUAUUUAGCUAGCUGGGGUGGGUGGAAGUUAGUGGGGAAUUAGGGGAUUUGGUGUUAGGCUAACUAGGGGUUAACGUUAAAAAAGUUUUAAAAUAAACUUUAAAAAGUUAAAAAUUAAGCUAAAAAAAGUUGUAAUAACGUUUAAGUAAAAAAUAAAAAAACACCCCCCUUUACCCAGUCCAAAUAAAAGUUAACCCCUUCCCUGCCAGUCAAUCAAUGCCUAUGUCGAUCACUGCCUACAGUGAUCAAAAUACAGAUCACAGUAUUAUACUAUGAUGUAAUUUUUUUUAACCCCUGAGGAUUAACUUUUAUUUAUUUUUUUAACCCUCAGGGGUUCAAUUUAUUAAAUUAAUUAAUUUAAAUAUUUUAUAAUUAUAUAUUUUGCUAGCUGGUCUGGGUGAGAGUUAUGGGAAAAUGGGAAAUUUACUGUUAGUGCUGCUUAUUGCUAGUUAGGGGUUAACGGUAAAAAAAGAAAAAGCUUAGAAAAAUGUUAAAUCUGUAAAAAAAGCUUUAAAUUACCCCAGGGUGUAUUAUUUAAUAAAUAGUUUGUGUUUGUGGGGAAGUUUAAAUAACCAACCGUCUAAACUACUCCAAAUUGGAACAUGGACACAGCGUAAAACUUCAAAGUUAGAAAAAAAUUGAAUGGCUGCAUCUCAAAUGCGCCCCUUCAACAUCCACAUAUACCUGGCAAAGGUACAUACCUGGCAAAGGUAUUGCUGUACUCAGACGACAUAGCUGAGCAACAUAUGAAGUAUUAUACAGUCGUAGCACACAUAAGAUUUGCAAAAUAUACUGUGCAAACUCACUUUGUGUGUCAAAAAGGCAGAAAAAACACUUAUUUAAAUAAUUUGGGGGGUUUGAACUUAGUGGCACAUGUGAAAUAUGCAAAAUGCCCAGCAAAAAUGCAAUCCAUGUGUAAAAAACGCGCAAAAUUAUUUUUUACCACAUACUUUGGCAUAUAUUGGUGAAAAAAUGGGGGUAUGUUAAGGCACAAUAUGCUCCUUAUGAGAUACCCUGGAGUGGCUACUUUUACAAAUGGUAGGCCUUUGUGGGCUUUUUUGAACAGUCAAACUGUUAUAAUACCCCAAAUCGAAGCAUAGGCUCAUUAAAUCCGUCUCUCAAAAUUCUACUGAGAAUACUGAAAAGAACAGGCCUCCUAUAUGGCACUGUAACGUCACGAAAUAAUGCCAAAGACAUACAAUGGGGGUGUCAUUUUACAGAUGUAACUGAACACAAAAUAAAACUUUGUACAGGAAUAGUACACACCAACUUUACAAAAUACACAUGAGAAUUUCUUUGUUAUAAGUUUGUGUGCUAAAAACCAAAAAAACCACAAUUUUACUCCAAUAUUUAGCAGAGGUUGGCGGUGAAAUGGCUAAGUAGAAAGUGUCAAAACAACCCUAGGUAAAUAGCCUGUGAUGUCUACUUUAUAUAAAUAUAUACUUUUGUGUGGCAAUUUUGUUUUCUUUUAUGGCUAUUAAGCUUACAAGACAAACAUACCAAAUUCUAAAAUCGCUCGUUUAUUUUACACAUUGUGCUUUGUGACCUGUAACUACCAAAAAAAACUUAAAAUCCCAGACACAUUAUAUAUUCUGUAAAUCAGAACAACUAAAUGAAUUUAUUUUUAAUUACUUUCCUUAACCUGCACCAAUUAUGCACACAUUAUUAUUGCAAAAACUGUAAAAAAAAUUUAAAUAGUUUUGCAUUUUUCUGUAUUUUUUUAAAUAAUAAAUAAGCAUUUAUAUAUAUAUAAAUGCUUCAGACUUGAGAAAGGGAGGUUCUCCCGAAAGCUUGUCAUUAAAAAAUUCUGUUAGUCCAAUAAAUAAGGUAUUACAAGAUAAGAAUUUUAUCUGUUUUUUACAUCUAUAUAUAUAUAUAUAUAUAUAUAUAUAUGUCUUACAUCAAAUUAAAGCCCUCUCUUUAAAAAACUAUAUAUAAUAUGUGUCGGUGCAAUAAAUUAGUAAAAUGCAAAUUGCAGUUGAACGUUAACAGCAAAAAAUGAAAAAAAUGCUGUUGUCAUUAAGUGAAAGACAAGCUUCUGAAGCUCUGUCCUUAAGGGGUUAACAGUAGUCUGAUGACACCAGUACAAAACUUCUAAUGCAACACUUGUUUACUUCAUGUGUAUCCCUAUUUUAAUGGAAAAGUGUCAUCUAGACUUGGAGAUUCUUUAUGGGCCAAUCAGAGGAUCAGUCAAAUCCUGACUUCUGAGGUGAAAUGUACCCAAUUUACGAACCAAUUAGCAAUGUCCAUGCAUUUUUGUUUCGAUUUGCAAUUCUGGAUUCCAUCCAUGGUGACAACAAAAGAGAUAACUGGUAAAAGUGAGAACAGCUAUUUAAAUAGGGACCCUGUGGCUGCAAUGUAGAGUGAUCUCUGCCAGCUGGGGCCAUAUCUAGUGACCCCAGACUGGGUGCAACUUUCAAAGUGAGCGCUGCAUAUAUCUUUAAAUCCAUUCAAAACAUUGCAGUUGAGCAGAUUACACUCAGCAGUGGCAAUUCUCAACUGCUCAAGGGAGACUCCAAUGGUCUAAACAGAUCAUAACAGGGUCUCCCUGCAUACCCUGCUGCUGAUUGUGAUAGUUUCAGGGUUUUGUAAGCUGCCCAGCACAUUGCUGUAGGUUUAGCAUUACAGGGAGAUCUCCCAGUCAUGCUGAAAACAGUUUGUAGGUAGUGAUCACUGACUCUUCUGUCUUAGCUAGGAAAUCUAUAUGCUGAUAUCAGUACCGUUAUUAGUAGAAGGAAUUCCUGAGGGCUAGGGCUGGGAUUGGGGUAGGGUUAAGGGUAGUGUAGGAUUAAUGUUAAUGUAAGGUAAAGGUUAAUGCUGGCUUAGGGUUAAUGCUGUUUUAAGGUUAGGGAUAGUGUAAUUGUAAAGGUUAUGGGUAAGGUUAGGCUAGGCUAGGCUAGGUGUAUGGUUAGAGUUAGUGUAAGCAAACGGUUGGGGGAUACAGUUGGUAUAGUGUUGGCGGAUCGUAUAGAUAUAGGAUUAACUACCAAAAGUGUAUUUAUAUAAGGCAUUUAACAAUCAGGACUGAUACAUGAAUCUAUUUUGAGUUCAUUUUCUUUUAACUGUAAAAAUGAUUAUAAGCAAAUAUGUGGAAAAACAUUUUUUUACCAUUUUUAACCUUUUUUUCACACUUAUGAAUUCCUGGCACUACCAAUCCCUUUAACUGCCCCCUCCCUCGCGCCCCCUCCCCAAUAACUAAAGGGUUAAAAACCCUGUAUUUACUUACCUUAUUUUAGCGCUGCUGUCCCUCGGCGCUGGGUCGAAGCUCUGCACCCUCCUGAAUCAAUGCUUUCAUAUGGGGAAAAAUCUGAUUCUGGAGGUCCUCUUGCAGAGCGUGAGGACUUCCAGCAUUAGCUAACAGACCAAAUGUUACGAUUCCGGAAGCGCCCCCAGUGGCUGUCUGGUAUACUUCUCUGGAACUGCAAUAUUUUACAUUGCAGCACUAGGUUCAAAAGGAACACAGCACCAAGACCACUUCAAUGAGCUGAAAUAGUCUGGGUGCCUCCAGUAUCCCUUUAAUAUUGUGUUAGGUAUACAUAUAGGAUAUUAAAGGGACACUAUAGUCACCAAAACAACUUUAUCGUAAUGAAGCAGUUUUGGUGUAUAGAUUAUGCCAUGGAAGUUUCAUGGCUCAAAGCACUGCCAUUUAAGUUACAUUUCUUUUCUUUCUGUUUAUGCAGCCCCAGCCACAACUUCCCUGGCUGUGACUGACACAGCCUGCAUAAAAACAAAAUGGUUUCAUUUUCAAUCAGAAGUAACUUAUUUUAAACAUUUUUAUCUCCUGCUCUGUAAAUCAAAUUUUAAUCUCAGGAGACUCCUGCAGGGUGUAGCAGGCUAUUAACAGAGCAGGAAAUAAUACAUUCCUAAAUUGAGCAUAAUUUGCACUAAAUGUAAUGUAAACAUUAAAUGACUCUUUACAGGAAGUGUUUAUGAAGGCUGUGCAAGUCACAUGCCGGUAGGUGUAACUAGAACUGCAUAAACAAAGUGAUUUAACUCCUAAAUGGCAGAGAAUUGAGCAAUGAGACUGCAGUGGCAUGAUAUAUACAUCAAAACUGUUUCAUGAAGCUAAACUUGUUUAGUGACUAUAGUGUCCCUUUAAAGGAAAACCCUUUCUGCCCUUUAAAAAAUAUAAUAUAUGAUAUGUAUGGGUGCGCUUCAAGGAAAAUACUUAAAUUACACUGGAACAAACACAGUCUAGGUUUUGUUAUGGUUCACAGCUUGGAUAAUUGCCUCUGAACUUAACCCCUUAACGCCGUUACGCCAGAACGGCUUUUUGCCCCAUGGGAUCGCAGCUACUUACCUCCGCUGCGAUCCUCUUCUGGAGGGCUGCCAGACCGCCCAGACAGCCCUCCCCUGGCGAAUGAGGCCCCCGGGGGCCAUGUGAAUGCUCUCAAACAGCGGUCACAUGGCCCCCUAUAGCUGGCUGUGGAUCUGCCAGCAGGGGGACUGUCUGAAAUAUCAGACAGUCCCCCUGCUGGUGGGAAAGUAAAAAAAAUAAAAAAAUUAGACAUGUUUUAAAAUAAAUUAAAUACAUUUAUAUAUAUAUAUAACGUCAUAUGUUGUGUAUUUUAAUACUAAUAUAAGUAUAUAUAUUAGUAUUAAAAUACACUUAGAAUGACGUUACAUAUAUAUAAUAUGUAUAUAUAUUAUAUAUAUAAUAGAUAUAUACACAUAUAUUAUAUAUAUAUAUACGUAUAAUUACAUUAAUAAAUAAAUAAAAUAAUAAACUAAAUAAAUAAAAUAUUGAAACAAAAUUAUUAAAAUUAUAUAUUCGUAUGUAAUUUCAUUCUAACUGUAUUUUGUUAUUAAUAUAUAUAUAUAUUGGUAACAAAAUACACUUAGAAUGACAUUCUAUAUAUAUCUAUCUAUAUAUAAAAUACAAAUAACCGCAAAUAUAUAUAUAGAUAGAUAAAUACAUAUAAUUAAAUAAAAGAUUACAUUAGUAUACACGUAGAAUUUAAAUACCUAUAAAUGCAUAUAUAUUAAAAUUCUACGUGUAUAUUUAAGUAAUCUUUUAACAUAAUUAUGUGAUUUGAUUAAUUAAAAUUUGAUUGACAUGCCUGACAACACAGGGACAAAGUGCAGAGAAUUUAAUUCGCAAGCACUAUAUUUGACCCUGUAACUCUCCAAGACACCAUAAAACCUGUACAUAGGGGGUACUGUUUUACUCGGGAGACUUCGCUGAACUCAAAUAUUAGUGUUUCAAACUGGUAAAUUGUAUAACAACGAUGAUAUUUUAAGUAAAAGGCACUUUUAUGGACUAUAUUAUUGUUGUAAUAUGUUUUACUGUAUUAAAACACUAAUAUUUGUGUUUAGUGAAGUCUCCUGAGAAUAACAAUACCCCCCCAUGUACAGGUUUUAUUGUGUUUUGGAAAGUUAGAGAGUCACAUAUAAGGCUUGCAUUUCAUUUUUUUGACAUUGAAAUUUGCCAGAUUGGUUAUGUUGUCUUUGAGAGCGUAUGGUAGCCCAGGAAUGAGAAUUACCCCCAUGAUGGCAUACCAUUUGCAAAAGUAGACAACCCAAGGUAUUGCAAGUGGGGUAUGUCCAGUCUUUCUUAGUAGCCACUUAGUCACAAACACUUGCCAAAUAUUAGUUUUUUGCUUUUUUCACACAAAAACAAAUAUGAACGCUAACUUUGGCCAGUGUUUGUGACUAAGUGGCUACUAAAAAAGACUAAACAUACCCCACUUUCAAUACCUUGGGUUGUCUACUUUUUCAAAUGGUAUGCCAUCAUGGGGGUAAUUCUCAUUCCUGGGCUACCACACCGUCUCAAAGGUAACAUUACUAAUCUGGCAAAUUUCAAUUUGAAAAUGGAACGUUCUAUAUUUGACCCUGUAACUUUCCAAAACACCAUAAAACCUGUUAAUGGGGGGUACUGUUGUACUCGUGAGACAUCGCUGAUUACAAAUAUGGGCAUUUUUUGCAGUAAUACCUAACAGUAUUAUGACAUUCACAGCUAAAAUGUCUGACAGAAAUACAAAUUUAAAAAAAAAUCUUAUUUUCUAAAAAAAUUUAAAAUUGUAUUCAUAAUAAAUGAUGUUCCAUAUAUGAAUAGUUAAUAAUAAAUUAAAGCCCUGUUUCUCCUGAACAAAAAGAUAUAUAAUAAGUGUGGGUGCACUUAAUGUGACAGCGGUGAAUUAUGGGUGAACAGACAUAUAGCGCAAAUUCCAGUUUUUGUUUACGUUUUGUUUUGAUCACAACGUGUACUAUUGACUCUGUUCUGAAGGGGUUAAGGGGUUAAUAAAUGUAAAAUAUAUAAAUACAGAUUUAUUUAUUUUACAGCUCCUCCUGUUUACUACCUUAUAUAUAUAUUUCUUAGUACACAGAUUGGCUCAUUUCUGCCCGUUUAGGUUCAAUGGAUUUGGUUCCCAAAUUGGAUCAGACAUUUGGCCAAAUAAUGUUUUUAGAGAAAAUGGUUAUGUAGAAUUGAUCAAACCAAAAUAGUUGCAAUUGUAAAAAUACAGUGGACAAAAUAAAAUAUUAGAUUUUUGGUUCAUAUUAUUUGAUUUUUGUUUUUGAUUGAAUUUGAAAGAAGCACAUCUGCUACUUAAAAUGACUUCAACACCUCCAAAACUCAUAUCCAUAAGGCGUUUUACAUCUAUAACUUCAAACGAGGAGCACUAAGCAAAGUAAUACUUAUAAGCAGGGGAACAUACAAGUUGCAGCAAGAUAUUUGUUGUAAAGGUGGCGGUUACACAGGCUCAGCUCACAAUGCUGACAUUUAUGUUUUACACUGUAUUUACUUGACAUAACUUGUUAUCAGAUCUACAGAGUAACAGAGCUUUAAAUCACAUAGGUUUUAAUAUUUUAAAAAGGAACUAUCACAUGGAGAAUGCACGCAACUGAACACCUAGAACUUGUUUUUUUUAAAUAAAAAUUAAAUCUUCACAAUUUAUACCACAAACCAAUUCAGUCCUGAAAAAGCCUGGGCAGACAUUACUUUGGAGGAUGAAUGUGUACCUUCACUGUGCAGAUACUGUACUAGGACCAAACUAUGUUUCCUCCUGGCCAUUGAUCAUAUCUGCCUCCAUGAAUAUUAUUAAUGCAAGUUGUGAGGAAUAUGAAGGCUGGCAGCAGGGCCGGCGCUUCCUAUAAGGCGAACUAGGCAGCCGCCUAGGGCGCCAUAUAGGAGGGGGCGCCCUGCGCCCCCAUCGCCAGCCCUUUAAAUUCUGCAGCCACCUGAGCGCUCUAUGGAGAGCGCUCAGGCGGCUGCCGCAGUGCCUCACCUCCCCUUCCCUGCUGUAGCGUGGCCGAGCUCCUUUCCGGUCCCGCGACCCGGCGGGACUCAAAGGAAGUGCACACUCAGUGUGCACUUCCUGUCAGUCCGCCGGGUCGCGGGACCGGAAAGGAGCUCGGCCAUGCUAAGCAGGGGAGGUGAGGUGAGGAGAAGCUGAUGGGAAGGAGGGAGGGGGGGGAGAUGAUUGAUGGGGAGGAUGAUUUGAUGGGGAGGGAGGGGGGAGAUGAUUUGAUGGGGGGAGAUGGGAUGGGAGAUGAUGGGGGGGAGAUGAUUUUGAUGUGGGGAGUGGAGGGGGGAGAGGAUGAUUUGAUGGAGUGGGGGGAGAUGAUUUGAAUGGAAGGAGGGGGAGAUAAUUUGAUGGGGAGGAGGGGAGAUGAUGAUUGAUGGAGGGGGGGGGAGAAGGAUUUGAUGGGAGGGGGAUGAUUGAUGGGAGGGGGGAGAUGAUGGGGGAGAUGAUCGAUGGGAGGGAGGGAGAGAUGAUUUGAUGGGGGAGAUGAUCAUGGGAGGAGGGGGGAGAUGAUUGAUGGGAGGGAGGGGGGGUGGGGGAGAGGAUGAUUUGAUGGGAGGGGGGGAGACAUCACGGGAGGGGAGAUGGAUUUGAUGGGAGGGGGGGAGAAGUAAAGAGAAUAUUAUGGGGAGAAGAAGAGAAGAUUACGGGGGAGAAGAAGGGAUUACAGGGGGAGGGGAGAAGAUUACGGGGGGGAGGGGAGAAGAAGACAAGAUUACAGGGGAGAGAAGAAGCGGAGAACACAGGGAGGGGGGGGAAUAAGAGGAAAACACGGGGGGAGAAGAAGAGGAGAACACGAGGGGUGGGAGAUGAGAAAGUAGGGGAGGGAGAGACCACUAAAGGAGGGAGGGGGCAGUGGAGAGACCGCUAAGGGAGGGGGGUGGAGGAUAGACAACUAGGGGAGGGUGGGGGGAGAGGAGAGACCACUAAUGGAAAGUCGGGGAGAAAAGGAGAGCACUAAGGGAGGUGGGGGGGAGAGGAGAGACCACUAAGGGGCAGGGGAGAUCUCUAAGGAAUGGAAGGGAGAGCUCUAUAGGACAGGGGGACAGGGAGCUCUUUCACACCACGGGCACACACACACACACACAAUGCAUCCCUAUACACACAGAAACACAACAUGCUUCCCUUACACACACAGAGAAACACACAAUGCAACCCUUACACAUAAAGACAAUGCAUCCUUUGCACAUAUACACAGAACACACACAAUGCAUCCCUUACACACACAUGCAAACACACACUGUUUCUCUUACACACACACACAGAAACACAAUGCAUCUCUUACACACACUCAACACACCCCUUACAGACACACACACUGCAUCCCUUACAUACACAGAAACACACUUUGCAUCCCUUAUGCAUACAAACACAGAUUCACACAAUGCAUCCCUUACACACAACAAGAAACACACAAUACAUCCCUUAUACACAAACACUCACUGCUUUCUAUCCCUUACACAAACAACACUGCAUCACCUACACAAACUGGUAUCCCUAUACACUACAUUCCGUAAGCACACACAUUAGAUCCUCUACAGUAACACAUAACACAUCCCCUACACACUCUACUCCCUGUGAGUUCAUGGGUGGAACAUGUAGGUGGCCUUAUGGGUGGGCUUUAUGGGCAUACUCACCGUCAGGCCCUGGGGCCCAGACCUUGAGCUAUGUAAGAGGCCCCAAAAAUGGAGCUGCUUCCCGUUCUCCCAGAACAUUGAAUUUUGUGACCACAGUUGCAAACAGCCUCCAGAGAUCCUGUUCUAGACCAGUGGAGCCAGACUGCAGCCAGAGCCCAUCACCAUCCUCAUCUGAUUGUAAGUAGGCAAUCUAGUAUAUUAUUAGUGACACUAAUCUCUAAUUUACCUCACAUUAAAUGGACACUAUAGUCCCCAGAACCACUGCAGCUUAAUAAAGUUGUUCUGGUGUCUAUAGUUUGUCCCUGCAGGCUUUUUAAUGUAAACACACACUGUGUGCAGCACUGGCAUUAAUUCAUAUGGGUGUGGCAUUGCGAUGUUCCAUUGGGGGGGCGGGGGUGGGGGGUUGGGGCGGCAAAUCUUUCUUUUGCCUAGGGCGGCAAAAAUCCUUGCACCGGCCCUGGCUGGCAGGUGCAAAUGUUGUUUUGUUUUAGAUGACAUAAAAGAACAGAACUUAGAGCUAUUAUUGACAGGGAACAUGAUGGAUUCAAUCAGAGGUAAAUGCAGUGUGUACAUUUCUACAUUUAACUUUGUUUUCAGAUCUUGUAAAGAGAUAUUUGUUAAAUGAACACUAUAGGGUCAGGAACACACACAUGUAUUCCUGGCCCUGUAGUGUUAAACCCACCAUUUAGGUGGCUUGCACCCCCUUAAAAGCAAUUAAAACUUACCUUAUUUCCAGCGCUGUGCGGGUCCGCUGGCACUGGCCCUGCCCCCUUGGUGACAUCAUCAGAAUUGCUGAUUUAUUGCCAAUCCAAUACUUUCCCAUGGGGAAAGCAUUGGAUUGGUUGAAAUCAGCAAGGGAGGAGACAAACACUGUUUUGGCCAAUCAGCACCUCCUCAUAGAGAUGCAUUGAAUCAUUUAAAACAGGAAUUUGCAGUCAAAUAAGGUGGGCUGCCCUUUAGAGAGCCAGAGUAUGUGAGGUAGGCUAGGAGCAACUUAUAGCCUCCCACCCUUUCUCUCCCACCCCCUGCCCCUUUCAUUUUUCUUUCCUCUUCUUUUACUGUAGUAUGUCUGAUACUUGUUAGGCUUAUAUCUAGCCUGUUUACCUUUCCCCUCUAUUUAGUAUAUUACUCUAUGGAACACUGCUCCAUUUGACUCUAAUAGCGGUUACUAUUGUUUCUUUCUGUUAUAAUAGGAUAUAUUCUACACUACAGCCUACAAUGUGAAUCUGUUUCCAUUGGAACACAUGCUAGACUAUGUAAUCAGAUUUUAUAUCAUGUUCUUUUCUAACACUUUUUUUUCUAAUAAUAAUUUUGGUAUACUUACAGCUUUAUGUAGGCUAUUAUUUUUUGCUUAUUUUCACUUAUUUCACUUAUGGGUAGCUCGUAUUUACGAAGGGUUAGGUCUGAGGGGGAUUAUCGUUCACUUUCAACCCUCCCUUUAUUUUUCCGCUUAGUUCCUAAGAACAUUUUAAUCUCAGAAAAAAUGAAAGAGAGUUUUAUUUAUGUUUGCAUUAUUCUUUAUCCAUUGAGAUCCCACACUCUCAAUGAAUUGUCCAUAGACACCCAUUUUGUACUGUCAUUCAUGUGUGAGAGUACACCAAUUAGGCAGCCUCAUCAACCAAGAGCAGAGAUGGAGCAGAAUCAAAUAUGGGUGCACCACUUUUCCCACUGCUUCCAAUGCACCACCAUUGAAGUUAACGUGUCACUGCAAAAAAUGGAAAUACUCUACAAGUGCCAGUACCAACUUAAGCAAGCCAAGCACCAUAACCACUACAGCUGGCACGCCCAGACAGUGAGCUAAGCACUGCACAGCAAGAUUAAGCUCAUGAGAGCUAACAGAAUUAUCUAAGCAGGAGCAUUCCACUCUUUGUUGCAGGUAGAGAAGGAGGUUAGCGGUGCCCAGCAGAGCACAGGUACAAAAUCAGGAUGUUCUACAAUGUUUGACUACUUACAAUGAAGGAGGGGUGUAAGGGCGCUCUGUAGUGCUUAUGGUACGUAAAGUGUUCCGUUAAAGCUACUGGAUUGCCAUGUGAAAAAGGACAUUCACAAGUGUAAUUGCCUCCAAUGAACACAACUGUGCUAUAUAAUUUAAAUGGCAUCUAUUACUAUGCCAAAUCCUCACACUGCUAGGAAAAUUUGACUUCAAUGAUUUGUCUUAACCAGAGGAAUGCAGCUUCUGAAUCCUUAGAGAAGAACAGUGAUGUAAUAUGUAUAGUGUACAUGGGGGGCUUCACAUUCAGGAGCAAAAUAGGGAAAGAAUAGAUAGCAAUAUUAUAACAGCUUGUGUGAAUGUUUCAUAUAGCAAUUACCCUGGAACAAUAAUAUAAACCAGGGCAGAAAUAGAAAGCAUAUGUUAUAGUGGAAUGUGUGCGAUUCCUUUCACCUAAGGCUACUUUGAAAGAAUCCAUGUUAUUCUUUAAACAGAAUGAAGAUGAAAUUACAUUAAAUAGUUUUGUAUUCUGAAAUAUAUUUUGGCGAGAGUCUCUGAGUGUGAUGUGUUAUGUUAUUUAGUAAAAUUACACAUUAAAAGGACACACAAGGCAAGAUGAAGACCACCAUUGAUAAAGUUAUUUAUAUGAAGCAUUAUAAAUUAUGUCAAAUGCUAAGUUAACGUUAAAGAAGAAAAGCAAUAUUUACCUUUAAACUUCUUCAAAUUUUAACCCUAGCACAGCCAGACAACUCCCAAACCAAGAAGAAGCUCCACCAAUAAGGAGUCUCUCUUUCUAUUAGAGUUUUUUUUAAUGUUCUUAUCCUUUAGAUUCUUGCUCAGAAGUGGUUUGGGGGAUAAACUGAGAGCCCCAGUCCUUGCUGUAUUUCCACUCAUAACAAAGGAUAAUUGCAGCCUCUGACAAAAGCUGAUAGAGGCUGCUAUAUCCAUUUAUAUACAGCCUGGUCCAUAGAUAUGAAUUUAUAUAGGAAAACGGAGGAAGGUACUCUCUGUACCAUAGCUGUUGUAUUAUGCAAAGUUGUUACUGUGCUAAAAGUCAUCCUUUAUAGUCAAGAUUUAGGAAAUUAACACACAUUAUGUUGUAUGCUUUGUUUAGCACGGUUAUAUAUAUAUAUAAAAAAAAAUUAAAAAGCUUUAUUGAUAUUGAUUAGAAACAUAAAAAAAAUAAAGACCUUAACAAAUAAUAUAAAGGAUACCGUCACCUGGUACAGAGAAGAGAAGACCUUGAUCAUGUCAGUGGUGGCUCCAGAGGUGCGCACCAGGGCAAAUGCAGAAGUUAACUCUCAGCCAUGCUGUAUAUAUGAAUCUGUGUGCCAGUCUAUGAUGGUUACGGAUGUUUGUCUGUUUGUGGGUAUAGGUAUGUGUUUGGACAUAUAUGAGUCUACGUGAGUGCAGAUAUAGUUAUUUGUCAUUGAAUGUAUGUCUGUAAGUGUGUGUAUCUGACACAUAAUCCAGCUGGGCCCAUGCCGAAUUUAGACUCUGGAUCUACCCCUGGCUCAUAUAUGCUCACAAUCUAACAUUAUCUACACAGUGUCAAAAAAGGGGGUUAAGUCCAGCCUCAUUUGUCCCUUUAAGAUGUCGUGAUAAAUGUGCUGACUAGUUAAACAUAAUCCUACACCUGUUCAUUGUCUCAGCAUUGUAUUAUAUGUAUGGUCCUAUUGCAAUACCUGGGGCAGGUGUGGCUUGCAUAUUGAACUAAAGCCUUUCCUUCUUUGUUAGUUAUCUUCAUAGUGGAAUAUGAUCCUUUUAGUUGGAUCCAUUAUUUACAUAUGUGCAGGUAUUGUUCCUAGAACUUUGACCGGAAGAUGAUCAUUAGUCCAGAAUGUUUGUAAUAGAUCCUUUGUGCUGUACUGUUAAAUUGGCAGCGCUAUAUAGUUAUGUAUAUUGUAAACUAAUCUAACAAUAGGGCUUGGGGGAGUGUUUUUGGAUUGGGCUUAUUUGUUAGGGGUUUGGGGUAGUGGUGUGAAAUGGGUUUGGGAAGUUUAGGAAUUUACUGGAAGAAUUACUCUCUUCUGUUGAAUUGAAUCAACCAAAUGAAUGGGAUUUUAGAUAAUUGAAUUAUCAAAUGUACCUACAUUCAGCUAAUUUAACACCUAAACAGCUAAAUACAAGUGAAAGCUGAAAUACCUAAAUUUGACUUUUAAUUGAAGUAGCCAAAUCUGGACAACCAAAUGCCAUUCAGCAUAUCACCAAUAAACCUCAUUGAUGUGUCAGUUAUACGUGAAACUAAUAAAGGACCACUAUAGGCACCCAGACCACCUCAGCUUAAUGAAGUGGUCUGGGUGCCAGGUCCAGCUAGGGUUAGCCCUGCCUGCUGUAAACAUUCAGAGAAACUGCUAUGUUUACAAAUGGGUUAAUCCAGCCUCUAGUGGCUGUCUCAUUGACAGCCGCUAGAGGCACUUCCGCGCUUCUCACUGUGUUUUUCACAGUGAGAAGACGCGCGGCUCUUGACGCGCAUGCGCAUUUAGCCGGUGACGUCAGAAGAGGGAGGAGAGUCCCCAGCGCCGAGGGAGCCUGGCGCUGGAGAAAGGUGAGUGUUUAACCCCCUUCCUCCCCAUUCAGCCUGGCGGGAGUGGGACCCUGAGGGUGGGGGCACCUUCAGGGCACUAUAGUGCCAGGAAAACGAGUUUGUUUUCCUGUCACUAUAGUGGUCCUUUAAGUACCCUUUUGAUUUUUGUAGAGUACUGUGAAAAAAUAACUGCCUUAUUAUAGUUUGUUUUUUUGUUUUUUUAGCUGUUUUAGCAUGCCCCCAGAAAGUCUGAAGAAGUGCAAUAACAAUGUACUACGAAGUUGUUAAAUACAAAGUCUCCUAAUAAAUAAAAUCACAAAAUGUUAUUUAUUACUUAUGUGAAAUAAGAGUAGAACGGGGUGUUAACGAAACAGUUAAUUUUAUUUCCAUUAUGUCACCUAGCACCUGUGUUGGUUAUGAAAUGCUGCUAAAUAUACCUCCUUUUUACUAGUAAAUAUAAAAUGUUAGAUAUUGUUUCAUUUCUGUACAGGAUGCUGAAAACAAAACAACAGAUGGACCAUAAUCAAGGUUUUCCACCCAUUUCCUUUAUGUUAGAAAAUAGGUCACCCAUCCAGACUUUUUAUCUUAUAGUUAGAAGAGGAAGUGUAUGUUAUUCUCUGAUCAACUUGGUUAUAACAAUAGGGAAAUCGCAUUGGAAAGUGGUUUGCUUUCUUACUGGUUAUAAUAAUUACAGAAGAAGAAAUAUUAGAUUUCACUGCAGUCCUUUAAAGCAGGAAUAAUACCAUAUAGUGUAAAUAACCAAUUAAAUAAAAUAACCAUAAAACUUGUAUAAGGUUUGUGCUGUACAGUUAUAAGCGAUCCCACCGGGAGAUUUUAUUUUUAGUGCUGAUGAGAGAUUUUGGGAGAUUUGUGUUGCAGUAAAAUUUUGCAUAUUUUUUCACACUUAUUUGGUGUUUUAUAGCAUAAUUUAUUAAAUCUGUUGUUUUUUUGUCUGUUCCUAGUUUUGUGCUCUAACCAUAAUUUUGAUGCAAUAGAUUUAUCAUUCUGUCUAUUUUCCGGCAUAAAAAUGUGAUCUGUUUCUUUUCAUACUUUUUUGCUGGCACUCUUAAUAACUGUUUUAAUUAGAGAGACAACGCAUUUAAGACCAUUUUUAGAACAAUUUAAUAAAUAUGUACAGUUUGGAAAUCACAAAUACUUUUCAGAACACUUUGAGAACAAGACUUGACAUUUGAGCAAGGGCUGAAAGUGUAGGUCUUUCUUGUCUCUGAGCAUGUUCAAAAGGCAAAAUCUGUUGAUCAUACAUGGCAGCAAACUGACAAUUUUGAAUAUUCAGUCAAACAGACUAAUAUAAAAAAAUCCUCACACCAACAGAGAAAUCAAAGUAACGUCUGCCACUGCAAGGUUUUAUGCUGUUUUACAAUUCCAUAUAACUUCUCCAUUAUAAUUUGCAUAUUAAAGUGAAAGGAAUUGAUAAAAGUUCAAAUGCUUUUUUUACUUGUGCACAAACAAAGUAGGGAGAAGAGGGGAACACAGGACCAAUGCUAGGGUCAUAGACACCUACGUGCAGAAUUUUUAUUUGGCCCUUAGGUGGGUGUGGUCAUCUUACUAACUCUUCUACUUUGCAAAUGUCCAGUCCAGACUCUCUCCAUCUAUAAGCCGCACCCAUUUUUGCAAUCAGACACACAUUCACUGACAGUCACACACUCUCACUGAUAGACGCGCACACUCACUGAUGUGCCACACACUGACAGACACACUGACACACACUCUAACUGACAGACACAAACACUCACUAAGAGAAACACUCACCGAUAAAAACACUCACUUACACUCACACACUCUCACUGAGAGACGCACACACUCACUGAUUUGACACACACUGACACAUACACUCACUGACAGACACACACAUUGAACUUAAAGACACACACUGACUUUUAUUUCUUAUGGUUAUAUUAAACUUUUUUAGGCACUGAGUCAUUGUGCCAUGUAUUGUGCGUAAAAUAUAUAUAUAUUACACACACUCUGAAAGGACCAAUAUUUUGAAUUAGAAAAAUAAAUAUAUCAAUAAUAUUAUGUAAGGCUAUGUCUUGCCACCCCAGAUGAUUAAGUAACUUAUAAGCACACAAUAUAUACAUCAUCUGGGGUGGCAAGACAUAGCCUUACGUAAUAUUAUUGGUAUAUUUAUUUUUCUAAUUCAAAAUAUUGGUCCUUUCAGAGUAAAACAUUUAAUUAUACAGUAAGCAUACCCACAUGCAGACACAUACAAACUCACUGAUACAAGUUCAUUGAUGUACAGGCUCACAGACAGACAAUCUCAUUGACAUAAAAAUACAAGCUCACUGAUGCACACAAAAAGGCUAAUUAACAGACAAUCUCACUGACACACUCAGAGAAGCUUAUUGGUACACAAACAAAUUUAGUACAGACAAACUUUGACAUGCACAAGCUUACUACAUUCAAGCUCACUGUCACACACGCAUGCUCACUGACACCCAUAUGCUCACUACAGACAAGCUAACACACACCUGCUCACUACAGACGAGCUCACUGUCACACACAUGCUCACCACAGACCAGUUCACUGACACACACACAUGCUUCCAACAGAAAAACCUACUGACACACGCAUGCUCACUACAGACAAGCUCACUGCUACACACACAUACAAGCUCACUCACUAGCAGCCACACACAAACACACUCACUCACUAGCAGACACACACACACACACACACAAGCUCACUCAGGAGCAGGAAUACGCACACACACACACAAGCUCACUCAGUAGCAGCCACACACAUGCAAGAUCACUCACUAGCAGUCAUACGCACACACACACACAAGCUCACUCAGUAGCAGCCACACACAUGCAAGAUCACUCACUAGCAGUCAUACAGACACACACACCAGUUCACUCACUAGCAGCCACACACACACCUCACUCACUAGCAGCCACACACACAAACGUUCACUCACUAUUUUUCGUUCAGGAUGCAGGCUUGCAUUCAGGGGCAGGGCAUGCGGCAGAAAUUGAGGUAAAUAGUGCAGGGAGACUGACAGGUCUCCCUCUGCAGUCUAAUUGCGGCCACACCAGCCCCCAGCUCCUCCCUCUUUACUCCCCUCGGACUGACACAAGCAGGCACAGUCCGAGGGGAAAAUCAUUUAAAUUACAUGAGUCAGAUGAUCAGGGCUGUCAGCCCGGCCCCUGGUACAGCGGCCCACCAGGUAAUUUACCGGUAUCCCGGUGGGCCAGUCCGGCCCUGGGAGGAGGUGACAGGUGCCUGGUAGAACCCAGGUAAGCUGUCAAACCAUUAGCAAAUUUUGACCAAGGCACUUCUGGCUCCAUAACUGUAGUUGAUAUGGUCCUUUGUGUGUUUGUUUGUUUGUUUAUGGAAUGUUUAUGAAUUAAACUUUUUAAAAAUCCUAAACAAGAUAGGACUGGUUUAAGAACCUACUAAAUAAAUAAUUAUCCAUAUGUUCUCUUAGAUUCAAUUGCAUGUUAGCAGCAGACAAAACAGGAAGAAAUAUUCCCCCACUCUAAUACACUGUGGGUUACCAAAGGAAUCCAUGUGCCGGAAAACAUUUCAGCACAUAGAAGAGUGAUACCUGAUAUUAAUUUUGUUUACAGAGGAGUGCUAGCAAUUUUUGACCAAGCUGGAAAGUACAUAUAAAUGGCAUUUUUGGUGCACAAAAUUCAAACCUCUGUAUGGAUAGACCUUUGCAGACUGAGUAAAUAAAAUGUAGGUUUGACAGAUGGAGGCUGCUCUAGUCAUGAGGUAUGACCGUAUAUAUUCCUGCAUCCUCCAUCAGCAUGACUUGUGCACCAUGAGGUUAUCAACUCUGUUUCCUGUGACUCCACUGACACUUAUGUCUCAUUGCAACCGCAGCCAUUUAAAACACCAUAACAUAUACUCAUCAUACCCAUCAGGACUGGACUGGGAAAAAAAAAAGUCAGCCUGGCCCUUUUUUUUAUCAAAGCAGCCCAGUGGGAAAGGGCUGGUGACAAUGGGGGGAUGUUGUGUCAUCAACAACAACACGCUCCCCCUCAAAGUGAGCAUGUUGUUUAAAUGCUCUUUCAGGACAGCCCAUGCGUAGAGCCCUGCUGAAGAGUUCUUGAAUGAGAAAAAGGCCCUGUAUUUGUUCUUCGCAAUGUAAGCAAAUUUAAUGACAUGCUUGCGCUGUUUUUGCUUGUGACCUCUGGUGUCUCCUUAAAUUGUAUACCAGAGGACAAAAGGGCCAGGAAAGUGUACUGGGUAUAUUUUUGGAGGCCGCUUAUGGGCUUGCAUGUGUGUAGAGUGAGCUGAUUGGGGUGUGGUGUUUUGUGCAAAUAGCAGUUUCAGAUGUGUUGUGGUUUGGCUAGGGGCUGUACAGUGUGUGUGUGUGUGUGUGUGUGUGUGUGUGUGUAUAUAUAUAUAGGUGCUGUAUUUUGUGUAUGUGUGUUGUGUAUAGGGGCAUUGUUGGUCCCAAAGACUGCAAUCAUCAAGAAAAUACUCCAUAGGCAUGUCCAGCCUAGGGAACAUUGAGAUUGUGGGCCAUCAGCCAAUGCUCAGUCCCACACAGUGCUGGGCUAGCAAAGGCCCUGCAAAAUUCCUACUUGAUGUCCCAGUUCUGCCGUGCACUAAUAACAGGCAUCCCAGUAUACCUCUGCUGCUUCUAAGCAGACAAAGUGCAACACUGCUGCCCACAAACCUUGUAUGAUAUUGGCCUGGGGGCAAUUGCUUCCUUUGUCUCUUGCCAGCCCUCCUCUGAAUCCACUAGAGGCACUUGCUGGAUAAUAGUUAAGAGAGGAAUUGUAUAACAAGAGUGCAGAAGCUUUGGGUCCUAGUCCCACAUAAAAUUGAGACCUGACAAUUUCACUGAACUGAUAUCAAACAGCUUAUGAUCACUAGAUACAACACAAUCUUCUUCAAUGUUUCUGAUUUAAGAGGAGGCACUCAGUCACAACAGUGUCCCAUGGGAUUUCAGUAACUUUUUUUCUAAGGGCUGGAAGAAUAUUCACUACAUUCCAUUACAGUGAACUAAAGGCCCUCGAGCUAUGUAUGGGUCAAUAAUAUAUAAAUAGCUGUAUUGUAUUGCUUACCAGGUGUGCUUCAGAUUACUCAUAUAGUGCUGACCCUAUUCAGUGUGGCUAGUUAUUAAGCUGUUGAGACUGUCAUCACUUUGCAUAUUUCUCUAGGCUAUGGCAGUAUAUUUCUUGGCUCUAUUUAUUGCCAUGUUUGGUACUUUUUUUUCCAAUAGAUGAUGAAAUACCUGUGUUGAGAAACUGUCUCAUAAAACCGUAAAAACCUUUAUAGCAGAAAUAUGAGGGUAGAUGCACAAUAUAAUCAUACAUUUAGAGGCGGCCCUCAAAUUUUGAUAUCUUUAGUAAUGCAACCAUAAGAAUGCACUUAAUUAUUCAGCAAAUACAAUAUUCAUAUUUAUUAAAGAAAGAUUGAAUUUAAAAAAACCUUUGCUAUAGAUAUGAAAUUGCUUAAUUUCUGAUACCACUAAUCUAGGCAUUUUUGAAUCUGCAAUGCUUUUUUUAACUAUUCAAUCAUGGAUAUAUAUACCUUAAGGGAUGUUGUCUAUUGUGUUCAUUAAGCAAAACACAACUUGUUGAAAGCACACUAAUAAUGUCAAGCUGGCUCCAGUCUCUGAUCAUCAAAGACCAAUCUAUCUCAACAGGAAAAACAACAAAAAGGGGCAAAAUAUGAUAGCAAGAACUUUCCCACUGGAGAAACUUACAUUCCCACAAUUAACUUUUGCAAAAUUAGAAUUUCUAAAAGUAAACAUUGGAUAAUUGAUGGAAGUUUUAACAGUAAAUCAGUAAUUACUGUGUUGAAUGUAGCAGCUACUAUUAUAUUUUUAUAUUUAGAACCUACAAAUGUCACCAUAAAUUAUUAAUUUAAAGGGAAACUGUGACUUCCGCGGGGUUUUCAAAUUAAAGGGACACUCUAAGCACCAGAAUCACUACAGCCUUGUGUAGUGAUUUUAGGGCAAAGAGUAUGUCCCUGCUAUCUUUGCAGUGUGAAUUCAGCUUUUUCUUAGGGGUGAGGGAGGGAGGGAGAAUGGAAAGUGCAUCUAAAGAGUUCCUACUUUAAUAUAACAUUAGGAAUACAUGUUUGUAUUCGAAAAGUUAGUGUCAGUUAAAGCUCACUUAUUUCCUGUAUGUUACACAUAAAUGUUAGUGGAAAAAUGUAAUGUAGAAUUGCACUCUAAGAACAUCCAUCUUGACGACUAGUAAGUUAAUUUUGUAAACUACGCACAUUUCUAUCACGAAGCACAACGUUUAGAGACUGAGAAGCCAAAACAAUGUUUCAAUUUCUACUCCUGAAAUUCAAUGUCAGCUGGUUUGAUCAGGGCACUCAACACCCUCUGUUCCUGUGCGUCCAGCUCGUCUUGUUGCAAAAACGUGUCAGUUAGUCAAUCUAUUGUACAGCGCAAUGGAAUUUGUUGGCACUUUAUAAGUAAUAUUAAUAAUAAUGUGUACCUAUGGCUAAACUAGAUUGUGAUGUCCAGGGCCAGCCCUAGGCCUUUAGACACACACACACACACACAGGCAGAUAGUCACACACACAAAGGAAAACAGUCACACACAGGCAGACAGUCUCACACACACACACACACACAGGCAGACAGUCACACACACAGACAGACACACACACAAAGGAAGACAGUCACACACAGGCAGACAGUCACACACACACACAGGCAAACAGACACACACACAGGCAGACAGUCACACACACACACACAGGCAGACAGCACACACACACACACACACACACAGGCAGACAGUCACACACAGGCAGACAGUCACACACACAGGCAGACAAUCACACACACACACAGACACAGGCAGUGAGUCACACACACACAGACACAGGCAGUCAGUCACACACACACACACACACACAGAGGCAGACAGUCACACACACACACACACACAGAGGCACAGGCAGACAGUCACACACACACACACAGGCACAGGCAGACAGUCACACACAGACAGACAGUCACACACAGACAUAGGCAUACAAUCACACACACAUACACACACAGGCAGAUAGUCACACACAUACACACAGGCAGACAGUCACACACACACACGCAGACAAUCACAUAUAAUUACCUCGAUUCAUUAUGGAGGUGGAAGUAGUGCAGCUCCAGGAUUCUGGUUGUUGGGGAAGCAGGGACUCUUUCCUGCUUCCCAUGCAGCAAUUACCCGGGACUUCUAGCCCAACCCCUGCCGCACGCUAAGCCCCACCUUCGCCACAUGCUAAGCCCCGCCUCCGCUGAACGCUAAGCCCCGUCCCCGCCGCAAUGUUUUGUUUUUGUUUUUUUUAUCCCAGGUUGAGAAUAAUGAAAUCCACCUGGGUAGCCGGCAAUGUGUGAGCUGAGCUCGCACUCCACUAAGGCCGGCCCUGGUGAUGUCAACUAAUAAAUAUUUAUUACACAUUUAAAAGAAAGUAGAACAUUACAUGAAAUACAGUUGACUCAAGUUAUAGGAUAUUUGCAACAUCAUCAUUGUUCAUUGUUAUAAUUUCCAGAAAAGUGAUACUUCCCUAUUAAACUUAGUGUUACCUUUUCCUCGUUGAUAUGACUAGAGAACCCUCUUCUAAUUAGAUAAAACUUCACCUGUAGGUUAAGGAUUCUAAUCAGUAAACCUUCUGAGAUUUCCAUCCACUGUAUCGAAGAUUCCACACCCAGUCUCCAAUGGGACAGUUCAAAUUUAGUGCAGCAUAUCUUAUUUUUCAGAAUGGAUUGACCUCAUCUAACCCAUUGAAUGUAUGUACAUACAACAGAUGUGUUUGACAAGAGAAUCUUUUAAGUUUCUUAGCAGAUAAAAUAGAAAUAUUGUUUAACAUAGAAAGGUUAAAUAAAAUCAUUAGGGACAGCUUGAGAAAGAAAAAAAGAUGAAGAAAAGAAGAAAAAGAUAACAAUUGCCAUAGACAAAAAAAAGAUCUUCUGGGAAGAAAGAAUGCUCUGAGACAUAUGUUACUAGGCCAUCCAUAUUUUGUGUGUGCAUUAGGUGGGUAGAUAGGGUGACCGUGUGCAAGGCAGUUCUAGGUGAGGCGAAAUGGAUGGAUAGUUAGAUAGGAGGCCAGAUGGAUGAAAAGACAGAGGUAAAAAGAAAAGACAGAUGUUGUUUUUUUACUAAACUGGGAACUGUAAAAAAGGGAAUAACAUAUCGUAGGCCAAAGUUACCAAGCUGGAAAACUAGCUUUCCUAUGGGGAUUUCGAAGAUGAUGGAUGUCCUCAUGCAAAGUGUGAGGACAUCCACUGUCGUUUCACGGAGUCAAACUCAACGAAACUGCAGGUAGCGCCUCUAGUGGAUGUCUUAAAUUGCAGGAAAUAAUGGACUGUUUUACAUUGCAGGGUUAAGUGGAAAGGGACUCUGCUUUCAGUGAGAUGAAGUGGUCUGAGUGCUAAUAGUGUCCCUUUAAGGUCUGAGUAAAAGUAUAGCACUCCAAAUUUUUAGACCUAACUGAACUGAGACUUAAAGGGACAGUUUAGUCACCAUUACAAUUUCAUCUAAAUUAAGUUGAUCUGAUGCCUUACGGUGCCAGGAGGCCCCUGGGCUCAUUUUUACCUCAAGUCAACUGUUUUCAAACAGUUUAACCACAAAGUUGCGUUCAGCGCAAAUUUCAUCUCGAUUUCAGAAAGCGUCGAGUGCCACCGGCCAUUGGCGUCACUGAUUGGCUGAGAGUGACUGACUCCCCAUUCACAAAACUCACUUGAAAAAGUUUUGAAGCCAGACCACACUCUGCUUUCUUGAAACUGAAAUUUCAGAAGCCAGAUGCCGCAAGUUAAGAUUGAUGCUUGAGGCAACUUUGGGUUUAAACCAUUUCAGAACGUUUUUUGGUGCCUUUACUGCUCCUUCAAGGAAUACUGUAUAUGUUACAUAUUUGUAGAAACUAAAAGUUACUAAUUAGGCUUUCCUUGGCAAGUUGCAUCAGGCUUUAUGGCAUGAAGAAACAUGAACACUAGUUGCAAAAAUGAUAUGUCAUAAGAGAAGACGAUAGACUAUACUGAGGUAUAGAGGGAGGAUGCAGGUGGUCCUACCUCACUGUACACUCACCCUGUAUUGACAUUUAUGCCAACUGAUCUAAAAUAUGAGGAAGACUGAAGAUUAUUUUCUUGUUGACAAAUUAAUGGGAGAUGAAUGAGAAGAUGAUUGAUAAGGAAGUGUCAUGGUGACAGCUAAUUUGAAAAUCACAGGAAAGAAGAAACACAUCAGCUUCCUGAUGAUGGGACCACCUAUGUAUGGAGUCUACGAAGCUUAUACAGGGAUCACCAGAAGGUUAAAUGAAUGAUCAGAAAUAGGUAUUUUAAAAUAAUUAUAACAAGGGUAUAAUUUUAGACAAAUUAAUAAAAUUAGGGUUUCUUUGUUUUCUAUAAAUUAUGUGUCAUUUUUCUUUUUAGCACCAUACCUUUUACUACCUAUCAGCAUUUUUAGUAAUUUUGCAAAUGUUAAUAAAUAAUUCACCAUGAUUUUGUUAAUGUUUUUCAUGGAGCAUCAGUCCUAUAACCAUCCUGCGCCACAGUUGUCACACUCAUGAGCCCUUGCCUUGAGUUAACCUUGGGCUUGCUACCUAAACACCACAGAUGUCCACAACACGUUAGGACGCAGGAAAAUGUUGAAAUUUAAACUGUUUUAUGUUAUUAGUUUUGCACAAAUAUCAUCCACCUGUUGCAGCUCACAAUCUUAAGCCACAUUCUGCAAUUCAUGCACAGAAAUUACAUGUCAUCAUCAGUCUACCCGGAAUUAAUAAUAUAAAAAAUACCAUGUUAACUGUUAUUAUAAAAAUGUGCCAAUAUCUCGACUGCCACACUACUGUUUAUCAAUUCUGUAUCAUGAUUAUGCCUGUUGUUGCUGUCGUGGCAAGACAAGCUUGCAUUAUUACCUGUGCACAACAAUAAAUAAAUAAAUAAAGAAUCACCAUGGAGCAAUAAUCUUGGCUUGCUAGUUUAACUCUAUGAUAGCUUUGUUUUGUGCGGUAACGUUCACUUGUGGAUAUAUAUAAAUGCUCAUGCUAUAUGUAUAUAUUUAAUUUUAUAGUUCUUUAUUUGAAUUUUUUGAAACCAUUUUUACAUUGUUAACAAUUUAAAAUGACAAAUACAUAAAUACGAUAGUAUAACAUUAUACCAGUCUUAUCUCAUUCGGGCAGGGCCAGAUUAAGAGCCCAGUGGGCCUGGUGCUGACAAUUAUGACGGGCCUAAUUACAGAAUCAUUUCGACCAAAAACAGUAAAACACUCCCAAGCAUCAUGAAUCUGAUGGAGAUGGUGCUGGAGAGAACGAAAACAGCAGAUAAAAGAAAACACAUACCCUAUGCUAAUCUCUCUCUAAUUUAUGUUUUCAUCUUUCAAGUAAAUCCAUAACCCCUAACAGCAGUGUCCAGUCAAGUAGGAAGUCAAUGGGCAUGGUAAAAGGGUGUGCCACUGACACAAAUCACAUAACCUGCCAAAAGGUGCGAACAUGCCCAAAAAGAGGAUAUGUCUGCCCAAAGAAUUAGAAGGCCAGCCUGGUAUGAAUGCAUGUCAGGCUGCCUGCCAAUCAUGCAGCUGGCCAACUAAGGGCAUACUAUGCAGACAGCACCCUGAGCUUGGCAUAAAUGCAUCUAAUGAUGCGCUCACUCAACACUUUCUAAGGACUGUCCCCUAGCACUCGCUGGUCCACUUGUCUCCUUACCUUCUUACUAGCAGGCAGAAGCUCCUGGUAUAUAGUCUGGGACAGAGAAAAGCUGUAUGUAGUGAGUGUAGAAGAAAUGGAACAUGCCACAGUGUUAGAGAGACCAAAGUCAGCAUUACCUUAAAGGAUCACUAUAGGGUCAGGAACACAAACAUGAAUUCAUGACCCUAUAGUGUUAACACCACCAUCUAGCCCCCCUGGGCCCCUCAUGCCACCAUAAAUAUAGCAAAAUCUUACUGUAUUCAAGCCUGAAGCUGUAACUCUGCAUGCUGUUAGACUCAGAAAAACAAGCAGUCUGCUGACAUCAUUAGAAGUAAUGGCCUAAUCCAAUCACAGUGCUUCCCCAUAGGAUUGGCUGAGACUGACAAAGAGGCAGAUCAGGGGCAGAGCCAGCAUGAUUCAAACACAGCCCUGGCCAGUCAGCAUCUCUUCAUAGAGAUGAAUUGAAUCAAUGAAUCUCUAUGAGGAAAGUUCAGUGUCUGCAUGCAUAGGGAGGAGACACUGAAUGUUUGGAUGCAUUUUAGGCAGCCAUGACCCAGGAAGGAUCUCUAACAGCCAUCUAAGGAGUGGCCAGUGAAGUUAUCACUAGGCUGUAAUGUAAAGACUGCAUUUUCUCUGAAAAGACAGUGUUUACAGCAAAAAGCCUGAAGGUAAUGAUUCUACUCACCAGAACAAAUUCAAUAAGUUGUAGUUGUUCUGGUUACUCUAGUGUCCCUUUAACUAUAUUCAUUGUCAGCCAGUCCAUUCAGGUUUUGUUCCCAUACAUCCCUCUUAAGUUUCCAUACUUAAGUACGAGUAUGUGAAAAGUAGUUAGGGUUGCCACCUUUCUUGGAAAAACAUACCUGCCUUGCUAAUUUGCAUAAUUAAAUAUGUAUGGGUGACAUCACAUGCUGAAAAUCACAAGGAGUGACAUAAGAGAAAAUGCUGUAAAAUCACCAAAAAAAUACUUAGUUUGAUUCUGCUGUAUAGAUGGAUUCCUCCCAGUGGCCCCAUGUCUCCCAGUGCCCCCAUGUGUCGAUUACCCCAGGUCUCAGUGUUCCUAUGUAUCAUUGUCUCAGUGCCCCAUGUCUUCCAGUGUCCCCUAGUGUCGUGUCCCCAGGUCUCCCAGUGAUCCUAUGUAUCACAGUGUCUCAAUGCCCCAUGUCUCCCUGUGUCCCCAUGUAUCCCAGGGUCCCCAUGUCACUAGGAAGACCUGGGGACACAGGGAGACUUAGGGACACGGAGACACCAGUGACACUGGGAGUCUAGGGGACUCUGGCUGGGACGCAUGGGGACACUGGGAAAAUAGGGGGCACUUGAAGACAUGGGGACAAGGAGACACCAGGGCCACAGACACUAGGGACACUAGCUUGGAGACAUGGGGACAUUGAGACACUGGGAGACAUGGAGGCACUAGGAGACAUGGGGACAGUGAGGCACUGGCAAACUGGGGGCACUGGGAGACUAGGGGGCACUGAGACACCAGGGCCACUGGCUGGGAGACAUGGGGACACUGUGUCCCCAUGUGUCUGUGUCCCUUAGUGUCUCAGAGUCUGCCAUAAUGUCUCCCAGUGUCUCUUAGUGUCUCAGUGUCUGCCAUAAUGUCUCCCAAUGUCCCUUAGUGUCAGUGUCUGCCAUAAUGUCUCCCAGUGUCCCUUAGUGUCUCAGUAUCUGCCAUAAUGUCUCCCAGUGUCCCUUAGUGUCUCAGUGUCUGCCAUAAUAUCUCCCAAUGUCCAUUAGUGUCUCAGUGUCUGCCAUAAUGUCUCCCAGUGUCCCUUAGUGUCUCAGUGUCUGCCAUAAUGUCUCCCAAUGUCCCUUAGUGUCUCAUUGUCUGCCAUAAUGUUUCCCAAUGUCCCUUAGUGUCUCAGUAUCUGCCAUAAUGUCUCCCAAUGUCCCUUAGUGUCUCAGUGUCUGCCAUAAUGUCUCCCAGUGCCCCUUAGUGUCUCAGUGUAUGUCUCCUUGCAGCCUUUCCCCAUCUCUUACUUCCCUGAGCUGUAGGCUGUGUCUGCAGGGUGGGAGUUGCUGUCUGGACUCUCUGUAGCUGUACCCCUGCAGAUCAGUGAGUAUAGAUAGGCAGGGAGGGAUAUGCUGGAACUUCCUAUCCCUGCCUCUCUCCAUACACAGUGACCCCUACUGGCCAGUGCUGGUAUUGCAGAGUAAUCUCUUGUUUAUACUGAGAAAAAUACCAGCAUUUGCAUUGCCAGUAUCACUGCAAUAUUGGCACCAGCCAGGCAGCCUCAAAUACUGGCUGUGCCAAUAAAAUAAAAGCCAGGUGGAAUCCCUAAGAGUAGUGUGUGGGAAAAAAAAAACGUAAAAAAAAAAAAUAAAAAUAAAAAAUUUUUUUUAUAAAUCAAUGGGCCUAUUCCAUGGGCCUGGAGCUGCAGCUCCAUCAGCCCCUAUGUUAAUCCGGCCCUGCAUUCAGGUAUCAGUUAAAACAUAUCCAAUUCAUUCAUACCACAUUCACACUGACAUAGGGAGAGCAGAACUAAGCGUUUCGUUAUCUUUAACUUACAAAGUGGGAAGAUUCCCAAUAUGACCAAAUCUUUGAGUAAGAGUCUAGCUGGUUAAAUAAUAAAAUAAUAAAUAAUAACCUUUCUCCAUUCAGAAUUGAUAAUUGAUUUGAUUCUUCAUCUCAAACCACUCUGGUUUUCCACAUUGUUUCCAAUUCCUUGAAAUGCAGAUUUUAAAUGCCAACAGUAGUUGAAUCAAAAGAUUAAGGAGUAGUUUGUCCCACUCUGGAAGGUCAAUAUGAAGGAGGAGGGGCAGGGGGGUCAAGUUCACCGGUCGAUCAAGAGACCUUCUCCAAGAGUAUAGUAAGAUUUAAUUUGAGGUUGUCUAGUUCUCUACAGUACCACCAAAUGUGAUAAUGGGUACGUUUGCCGUUACCGCAUCUCCAACAUUGGUCAGCGUGUAUGGUAUUAAUUUUGUUUAAUUUAGUUGGAACCAAAUACCACCUAUACAAUACAAUGUAUAUUUUUCUUCACUAACUUUAUACGUUGUUUCCAUUCUUGGUUUCUAAAGGUCUUGUUUAUAUCAGAUUACCAUUUAGUCAGGGGGGUUUCAUUAUUGAAAGUUUCCAAACAUCGUAUUAAUUUUAUAGAACACGAUACCCUCUUCAAGAGAAUAAACAUAAAAAUAAUAUGCAUGAUAAAAUAGUUAUUGAAAUAAGCUAAAUAAGACAACAGAUUAAUGAUAAUUAUUGGAAAAUAUGAAUUGAAAUAUUUUAAGCUUCAAACAGAAUUGGUACUAGAAUAAUAAUAGAAUAGGUAUAAUUUUAUCAAAUACAAUUAAAGGGUCACUAUAGUGUCAGGAAAACAAAGCGGUAUUUUAAACAGGGGAUUUGAACCUGGGUCCUUUGUUGUCCUGGGCCUGCUAUACUGUCUCUGAGCCACAGCAGAUCCUGUACUUUUAUUACUACGAUCUAUAUAAUUAAAAAAAAAAUACUAUCCCAAAUCAUCAACUUAUUUCCUUUCUUUUGAAGCUGAAAUAGCCAAAGAGCAGUGAGAAAGACCUAGAAGUAUUAAAUCAUCCAAUCUCAAUACAAGAGGUCAGAGAAGUCAUAAAAAAUCUGAAACCAAAGAAGGUACCCGGUCUAGAUUGAUAUACUGCCAUUUAUCAAAAAUUUCAACCCAUAGUAGCUCCUCUGAUUUUGCGAAUUUUUUCUCUUUUCCCAACAAUGGCGGCACACUUUUUAGCAUGGGAUGGCUCAAACAACUCUAAUAAUGUAUGGAAGGAAAUGGAGGUCCAGGGCUCUAAGACAGACAGCCUUUAUGAUUGUUUUUGGUUAGAUACCAAAAAAAUGAUUUGAUAAGAUCACUUCAAACCUGAUUGUAAACCAAUAUGCUGAUAGCUAUUAAUAUAAGGAAAAAAUGAAACCUAUUGAACGUUAUAGCAAUGUCUUCCUCGCUUGAACUUUUAGAGGUUAAUAUCUCACAUGUUAACUUGGAGAAGUGGAGGAGCUGUGGGAUCAACAGAAUAUCAGACAUGGUAGUCAAUCAGAAAAUAUCACCAUUUCAACAGUUACAAAUAUUAUAUUCUCUAGCUUCAAAAGAAUUAUUUACAUAUCUUAGAAUAAAGAAUUAUCUGUCUACCAAAUAAGUAAUUGAACAAAACUGUGGCAUUCAACUGGACAAAAAUUAUCCUAAUGACUUAAAGGAACGUGGAGUGACUACUGCAUGAAAAAUAACAACCUAGGUUGGUAUGAAUAUUCCAGGAGCUGGUCCACCUAAGAUGGCUUGUGGUGUAAUAACACCUAAUAAAAUUGGAUUUAAAAAAAUAAAAACUAAAAUGUAAUUUAAAAAAAUAUUAAAAAUGUGGUGAUGUUGGAAAUAAACUAAAAUGAACUCCAAUAUUUCAAAAAAGAUGCAGCAAUAGUGUGUGGUGUGUACACCUUUAAAUCUGCUAUAGGCAGGAUAAAUGGAGUAUACACCAAGUGUUAUACUUUACAAAUAAAGAUAUAAAACAUAUAAAAUGGGGAAACAGUAUAUGGAACUGUUCUCUCUAAUGAUAAAAAAUGUAUAUAAAAUUAUAUAUAGAGAUAUGAUAAGUCUCUUUAUUAUAUAGUGCAAUAUAACCAUAUAUGGUGCAUAUGUCUUUAAAUCUGUUAAAAAAAACAGACAAAAUGUAGUAUACACCAAAAUAGUGUACUUUAUAUCUGUUAAAAAACUAUAUGUUACUGUUUUUACUUUAAGUUUUGUGAUAUUGAAUUUUGCCCUUUGCCCUGUCAUGUGAUUAGGAGAGGCUAGGAUGGCAGGAAGAAGAGGACAGGGGCGAAGCCAUGUUCUCUGAGUCAGCUUAAAGGACCACUAUAGUGCCAGGAAAACAAACUCAUCCCCACCCUCAGGGUCCCCCUCCCGCCGGGCUAAAGUUGGAGGAAGGGGGUUAAACACUUACCUUUUUCCAGCGCUGGGGACUCUCCUUCUCCUUUGGCCGCCAUCGGCUGAAUGCACAUGCGCGGCAAGAGCCGCGCGCGCAUUUAGCCAGUCCAUAGGAAAGCAUUCUCAAUACUUUCUUAUGGACACUGGCGUCUUCUCACUAUGAAAAUCACAGUGAGAAGCGCGGAAGCGCCUCUAGCGGCUGUCAAUGAGACAGCCACUAGAGCCUGGAUUAACCCUAAUUUAAACAUAGCAGUUUCUCUGAAACUGCUAUGUUUACAGCAGGCAGGAUUAUUGCUAGAUGGACCUGGCACCCAGACCACUUCAUUGAGCUGAUGUGGUCUGGGUGCCUAUAGUGGUCCUUUAAAGAAGGUGUGUUCCUCCCUGUUUCAAUGAUCUAUUCCUGCUGAGACAGUGAAAUAAUAACAGGGGAAGGCUAGUGCACUGCUACUACAAGAAGUUGGAGACUGUCUGCUGCUCUGCUAGGAGAAUUAGAAGACUGUUAUUCAAUGUUCAGCUCCCUGCAGGUUCUGGAACUUUCUGCAGGAGUGUGAAUGAGCUUUUGCCUCCUGUCAGCAGAAGGAAGAGAAAGGAUUGCCAUUGCUGUUCUGCUGCUGUCCUACAUUCUGCUGGAUCUCUCUGAAGUUACAGUCACUCAAAUGUACUGUCUCCAGAGAUUGCUUCAGGAUUCUCCCCUAUAACUGUACCUGGGUAGCGCUACCUACACCUAAGGGCCCCAAAGUUGUGCACAUAAUUUACCUGCAGGUACAUAGAAGUUUAACUGUUCAGAUGUAGUUAUUGAUGUUAUUAAGGGAAGCUUGUUGUCUGCAUUCCUGCUGCUAAAGACUCCUGUGACUGUAUCAGGGACUUUAUCAUCAUUUAACAUUAGCCAGGAACUGCAUUGUUAUUUCUGCUGUUAUAUGUCUAUCUCUUUAACCACAAUACAGUGUGUAUUUCCAUGUCUGUAUUUAUUUCAUGUCUCUGAGUUAUUAAGUGGAGGGUACUCAUCUACUCAGUGGGGUGGGUUCCCCAUAAAUAGAAGUUGCACUGAGUGGAGGCACUGCGUCAGAACAAGAUGUCCUGGUCGCCCACCUAUAGUGGAGACUCAGGAUCCCUGUCAGCGACAGAAGAAGGUGUAACUGCUGCUAGCUACGGCUUGUUGCCAGGAGCAGGGCAAAAAAUGGUUACAUACAUAAUAAAGAGAACAGAAGUGAAAAACUGGAAGCAUAGGAAAUGCACUCGUAAAGGGGUUAACCCUGAAGAACUACAGAAGUAGUGAAAAGAAAAAGGAGAGGAAAUGAGUGCCAUAGAAACUUAAAAUAUAACCUUUAAUAGUAUAGUUAAAACAAUGUAUAGAUACCCACAGCUAAGUGGUGUCAAUAAUGAUAUAUACAGAACUAUAAAAUAAGUGCUAUGUACAUAAAGAAACAAAAAAGCCCAAGGUGUGGAUUAAUCUAAUAGGUAAAAGUGCUAUAUCAUAACAAAUACCUAUAAAACUGGCACCGAUGUCAAGCUGUUGAAAGCAAGUAUCAAAAUGGGUAGAUUGAAACAAGUGUCAAAUAUAGGGAGACUUAAACAGCUUCCACUAGAUCUAUAACUGGAAGUAUGUCUGCUGGAUAAUCAAGCCUCAAGAUUACUAAAGUAAAUCUCAACCUAAUAUUAUAAUAUAAGCGAGGAGGACCUGUUCAAAAGUUUUCAGUAUCCUCCAUCUAAUGUUCUAUGCAAAAUGUAAUUUUGCACUAACACUAUGCAAACGAAUAUACGUCCAAAUGUAUAGUGUAGACCUAUGCCCCAAUAAUAGUUGCACAUAAACAGCGAUUCACCAGUUGUCAGUAUAACAUUCCUUGUGCAAAGUUGUAAUCAACUAAGCAUCACACGAUAUAUAUAGAUUGUGCAAAGGAAGGUAUGACUGCACAGUCAGUUGUGUACACAUACAGUGCCUCCUAAUGAUAAAAGAGGCACUGGUAAUGUACACAAAUAGUGCAGAUAAGAUUAAUAUUACUGCACAGAAAAUAGAAGAAGCCUCAGUGUGUAUAUAUAACGGCAUAAAAUGAUGUGCCGGUAUUUAAAGUACUGGGGGUAAUGUCAUGACCGCAUACUCCGGCUGAUCAAUGAUCAAAUAGAAUCCUGACUACUAAAUAAAAGAGGGUCUAGAUGCAAAAAACGGGUAAGUUGCCAUACAGUGAUAAAGUCUGCAGUGGGAACUAAGCCGACAAAUUAUCGCCCUCCCAGGUAGUAACAGGAUAGUUUUCUCGUGAUCCAAAGCAUAAAGAAUGUGGAAACCGGUCUUAGCACAGAAAAUGGCUGUGACUGAGGAUCACCGAGGGCCCCUGACGCGCGCGUUUCGCCCGCAGCUCAUCAGAGGGGAGCCGAUGUGCGGGAAAUAACUGAUAUUUAAAGAUAAGUGGCAGUUGCUGAUUGGUGGAAUUUGAAAAAUCGUCAGUAGUUGUCAGCCUAUCACUGUGAGGCUGAAGUGUGACGUUAAUUAGAUUGUAAAAGAACAGAUUCUGAUAUCGGGGAGUUUAACCCCUUAUGGACUUAGUUUUUAAGCCAUCAGAUAGAGGCAAGUACCGGUACAUAUUCACCCGGCAAUGCAAGAAUAAGAUUAACAUAUAAAAAUUGCCAAUCGGAUCAAAAGCCGAUUAAAUAUAGAUUGUGGCUUGCUGUGUAUAGAUCCAGCAUAAAUGUUGGACCAUAAAGAUUCUAUAAAGAUAGAGCCCAUUUUAAUAGAGAUUAAUAUAAAACAACAUAAAGAAAUUCAUAAAUAGAAUUAAAUAAUACAAUAUUAUCGACAUUCGUAUACAUGCAAGACACAUCCGUGUGAGGACGACCACUUGUCCUAAUUAUUACGGAUGUGGUGUAUUGUAAUUAUGUCCCUGAAAAUGGCAAUAAUGUAUAGUGCUAGAGGGUAGUAUGUGUCGAAAUUAAAAAGAGAAAUGUUGCUAAAUAAGUAACCCACAAGAUGUACCUUACAAAAUAUAGAUAUAACAGAAUGAUGUUCAGUGUUAUGGUGUCCUAUCAUGGUUAAGCAAAUGCCGAUUAGAAUACAUAAUAAAGCUCACAAUAUUAAAUACUAAAAUAGUAGUGUAUUCGUUAUUCCAAAUACAAUAAUCUGAACCUGUUCUAAAUGUUAUUCGUUCAUUAUUUGUAAUUUCAUGAAGUCAACUAGAAAUUGUAUUAAGUUGUGAAACUAUGCUAAUCCCUACGAGUGUCACUGAUUGGUCAUUGAAAUAUCUGGCAUUAGAUUAUCUUUGAAAAGCUUUUUCAAAUAUGGGAGCCUCCCCAGCCCCCCAAUACAAGUAAUGAAUGUGACCAUUGUCAUACUUUACUGUGAAGCCCAUUAAUUAAUCUAAGCAAAUCUAUAACACUUUGCUUAGCUGAAUUUAAAUGGUCUGCAAAUGGUAUUUCAUAUAGCAUUGCAAGUUAUUGAAAUGUAAUAGUAAUUAUUACACUCGCCUGUAAAGGUAUUGUUAGCAUACAACAGAUGUAACAAAGACAAUUUCCAGGAAUGUCUCACUUUACUUGCUCCUAAAUGAGAGAACAAGGCAGUGUUUUAAAGGACCGUUAAAGGGACUCAGGUCACUUCUCAAUGAAGUGUUGUGGGUGUUUUAGCCCAAUAGAAACAUUGCAGUUUGUAGAAACUGAAAAGUUUCCAUUUCAAGCUUACACACAACCCAAGUGGCUGUCUUCCUGACGGCCACUAGAGGCAUUUCCCUGUGAGAACAAAGCCACACUUGGUUCUCAAUCAAAUGCUGCUCCUUGAGAAGAUUUGAAUGGCGCAGUGUGCAGAUUGCCACUAAUAGCACUAGCCCUCCGAUGCUUUGCAAAGGGGAAGCAUUGGAUUGGAUCAGAUCAUCAGUCUUCUUCUCAGCCAGUGAGUUUGAGCAUCAGUGGUUUGACCAGCACAGCAAGGGAAAAGGUAAGGAAAACUCACCUUUCGAACCCUCACGGUGGGAGGGAGAGACGCAUAAAGAGGAAGGGGAACUAUAGCAUGUUUGUAUUCCUAACGUUAUAGUUUUACGUUAAUGAAUCAAGCUCACAUGGACAAUUUCAUUGUUCUUUUUUUUAUUUUUUUUAUUUUGUAUUUUGUAUUUUUGCAGUGCAUAUAGAGUUUACAACAAGCCUGAGGUACCCCAACGGCAGUCCACAGGAAGAUCAACAUGUAUUACAGUGGGGUAAACAGGCUACUAAACUGGUUCAUGGAUUGCGGGAUAAAACUUACCAGGAAAGGUUAAAGGAUCUUAACAUGUAUAGCAUGGAGGAAAAACGAGACAGGGGGGAUAUGAUAAAAACAUUUAAAUAUAUAAAGGGAAUCAACACAGUAAAGGAGGAGACUAUAUUUAAAAGAAGAAAAACUACCACAACAAGAGGACAUAGUCUUAAAUUAGAGGGACAAAGGUUUAAAAAUAAUAUCAGGAAGUAUUACUUUACUGAGAGGGUAGUGGAUGCAUGGAAUAGCCUUCCAGCUGAAGUGGUAGAGGUUAACACAGUAAAGGAGUUUAAGCAUGCGUGGGAUAGGCAUAAGGCUAUCCUAACUAUAAGAUAAGACUAGGGACUAAUGAAAGUAUUUAUAAAAUUGGGCAGACUAGAUGGGCCGAAUGGUUCUUAUCUGCCGUCACAUUCUAUGUUUCUAUGUAAUCGAAUGAUCAUGCACAAUUUUAUUUUUUUAAUAAUUUCAAGCUAGAACGGAGAUGUAUAUGUCAAAGUAAAGAUACAAUUUUAUACUACUAGAUUUGCAUCGAAGGGAGUUACUGUAGUCUGGAGCUGCAGUGUGUUAGCCAUAGUACAUUAUUAUUAUUAACUAGACAGUGCUAAAACAUUGUUAACUCAAGGUAGAAUAUUGUCUAAACAUACUGUUCUUAAGUCCAAUUUAUGCUGGACCUCUAGGUUGUCCGCCUGCAGUGCUGCAGUGGCUGCAUUUACCGGAACGUUGAGCGCUUGUGAUAGUGCCCCUGUUAGUCGAUGCCCUCUGCUAGGAUACUGUUGGUACCCGCUGGAGGUCCUCUGGGAGCCGCUGGUGUGAGGGUGUUAAGGAGAGUGACCUUCUUGCCCCAGAUCUGUAUGAGGUCUGGCAUCCGUUGACCACUAACUCGGUGCUUGCUAUAGUCCAAGUUUCUUCCCCUAGUAGGGGUAACAGGGGGCCUGGUGGUUCGCUUGUGUAUGCGUAGCUUGGGCCUCCAUUUGUGUGGUUGAUGCUGCUGGGUGGACUCUGUGGCUUGGAGGUAUGUGGGGAUUCUGUUGCUGUGCCCAAGGAUGUUCUCUUCACCUCCUUCUGCCUGCAGCUCUGCUUACCCUUGGUCUGUAGAGUGCAUUGUGCAUGCUGGGCUGCCUGAUAUCGCUCCUAGAACUCUUCCCAAAAGCGGUUGAAGCUCUCGUCUGUGUGUUCCAUGGUGUUUUGGUGCCGCCUUUCAAGUGAGUGCAGGCUCUGGUCUAGUAUCGCUGUUUCAGCCGCCAUCUUAGGUGCAUCGAGCAUUGUGACUUUGCUGUGUGCGUUUUUUGGCGGGCUGGUCACUCCAGACUUCCAGUUCAGACCGAGAUAUCCCCCAUCGGUCCAGGGGGGGUGGGUGGGAUAGGAGGUGAGUGUGCAGCGGGGUCUGUAUAUGGAGGUGCCGGUGUGGAAAGCGGCCGCCUCUCCCCAGCUCCAUGGUAGGUAGGCCCCAUGCUGUGUUUGCGGGUUCCCGGUGGUUGAGUGUUCCGUUUUUGAUCUCUAUCUGUUUCCCCGUGUGUCUUCGCUGUCCCCUUCCAGGCAAUGUGCAUGCCACUUUUCUGGGGUUUUAGCCCUUGAUUUAAAGAUUUGUGCCAGGAGCUGAUAGAAUGGCACAUCCACUCAGCCUGAAAGCUAGGCUCCGCCUCCCCAAUUUCAUUGUUCUGACUUCUGGAACUACAAGUUUAUUAAUAACCUGUGCUAGCCAGAUACAUUGAAAAUCUAUAAACCUUUAGUAAUUAGCUUUUAUAGGGUUAAUCUAAGCACCAUAAUCACUAUAGUACAUUGUUUUGGUCAUGAUGUUAGCAGGCUGCCAGCAGGCUGGAUUUACAUCUCAUAAUAUGCAGAGAUUAUGGCUGUCAUGUAAUCUUCCCUUUAGACGUGGGGUUUCUGGUAGCCAUAUUUCACUGUUCCUUCUGGCGGCAUGGUAGUGUUUUUUUAAAUUUGACUUGUAUAAUAUUACUUUAAGAAAGCCAUUAAAAGUGUCAGAGUAGACAUCAUAUUUGGAAUGCAUUGAUAGUCUGAGUGAUCAAAAAUAAUUUCAUCCAGAAGUGGGAAAUAGCACACACAGCCUACUAGCAACGUAAUAGCUCUACGACAAGAUGUAGUGGUUAUAGUGCUUUGCUUGACCAUUUGCAGUUUAUAUGUAAAUCUGAUCAUAGGUUGUGUGGGCAUAGACACAUAAAUGUAUUUAAUAUCUGCCACUACUAAUGUAAAAACUGAAAAGAUAUCUUUGUUCUCAUCCGCUUUGUCAUAAAGUACCAAAUAUGCAAUGAAAUACUUAUUUUUGUCUUAAUUGUUUUGUCUUGACUGUAAUUGUUUGUUUUUCUAUCCUGUGUACUGCCAUUUCUAUGUUAUUUUACCUUGAGCAACAAAUCGAGCUAUUGCAGUUCCCAAGAUAACCUUGUCUGGUACCAAUUUCCAAGUGGAAGCAAACUUCCAAUGCAGGGGUUCUCAACCCACUCCUCAAGGACCACCGAACAGUCCAGGAUUUAGGGAUUACUCUGCUGUGUCUAAUGUGUUUUUAGGGUUGGGGGGACAAACACUUUAGACACAACAGGGUAAUCCCUAAAUUCUGAACUGGUAGGGGGUUCUUGAGGACUGGGUUGAGAACCCCUGUAUAAUGUCUCAGAAGCGGGUGCUACAAUUUAUAAAGGGUCCAUUUCUGGUUUUCGUGGUCUCUUCAAAUGAAUGACGUUGAAAGUUUGGUAUAUAUUGUUAACUGCCAGAAAUUUCAUUGACAUGAGAACAGCAGUCAAAAACAUUGAAGGCCUAGUUCCUGAGGUACAUUUUUCAUAGACCUAUAAACCUAGAGAAAGGUAGUAGUUCCCCUCUCAAUGCUACAUUUUAAAAUGUUAAAUUAUGCAUUUCCUAAUAUUAAAAUUGUAUAUUAAUAAGGCCAUAAAAGUUUAUGGCAUCAUAACCAGUAAAGGUUGAACGUCAUGUGAUAUCCUUAGAAGAAUAUAUACCUGUAUGUUUCAACCACAAAAAGAUGUGUCCAUACAAUAGAUUUGCAUUUAUAGGCAUGUCUUGGGAGUGUCAUCCAUAGCCCGCAGUGUAUUUUGUCUUUAUUUUACUUACGUAGCAACAUCCUCAUGAUAAUUAAUUGUCUAACCUUCCAGAAUUUUUAUCUCCAGGUGGAAUCCAGCUGAUAAGUGUAAUGCAAUGCUAACAAUAUAGACUCCAACAAAUCAUGCCUUAGGAUAUUUCAAUUUUUGAAACCAUGUAUGGAAAGCAAUUUGAUUAUUCGGUUAUAUGCGGAACAAAUCUUUCAGUCUUGCUGCACUUGAAAAAAUAUAUCUACAGGCAGAACACUCUGGAUGAUUACUUCAAUAGACAAGACUAUGCUAUAAGUAAAUGGGAUUUACAGCCUAUACCAAAAUAUUUACCUAAAAUAAUCCUUAACAGUAAUCUUAUUAAUAAUAUAGAUAUUAUUGUGUAUAUAUAUGUUACAUGUCAGAUAUAUUGUAGAUAUACAAUAUCUAAUUUAGUACUGUUUGUUCAAUGAAGGUUGAUUGCCUCAUGAUUUCAGAAUGACUAUCAUUAUUAUUUUAUUAUUUCUAUAGUGCCAGCAAAUUCCAUAGUGCUGUACAAUGACUACAGAGAAUACUUCUUGUUUACUUUAAAUAAUUUUAUAUGGAUGUAAACCAGUAACAUUGACAAUAGUGGAUCAGAACCUUCUUAAUAGUGUAUAAAUUAGAUUUAAAUGGAUACUAUAAUGCCAGAAAUACAAAUAUGUAUUCCUGGCACUAUCGCUCCCCCUGCCUCGCCCUCCCUCGAGCCCCCUGCUCGGGUGAAUAAAGGGCUAAAAACUCUUUAUUUACCUAAUUUAUCCCAGCGCUGUGACGAGCAGGCGCUAAUGCAUAUCAAUGCUUUUCUAUGGGGAAAAAUCUGACGCUGGGUGUCCUCAUGCAGAGCGUGAGGACGUCCAGCGUCAGAUAUCGGAUCAAAGGUCAGUUUCAAUCCAGGAAGCCCUCUAGUGGCUGUCUGGUAGAAAGCUACUGAAGGCAGACUUAGUGCUGCAAUGUAAAUAUUUCAGUUCUCUGGAACUGCAAUGUUUUACAUUACAGCACUAAGUGAAAUAGGGACACGGCACCCAGGCCACUUCAAUGAGCUGAAGUGGUCUGGGUGCCUACAGUGGCCUUUUAAGAUAUGCAAGGCAUUCACUAGUAGAGGAGUCAUUGUGUGAAUCUACCAGUUUAACAACUAUAACUAAAUGAUGAUUUAUAACAAAAAUUACACCAUAAUUAAACAUUUAUACAGCUUGUAAUGUAAAUGUGACUUCCAAUAAUUAAGUCCAAAAAUGUUUUGGGAAAUUAUCCUCUAUCUAUAUAGCAGUGUUAGCUUUGAAGUAAUGUUUGAGCCUCCCUGUUAACUCACUGUUGUAAAUCAAGGAAUACAUUAGAGAUGGACUGAUACAUAGUGAUGUUAUCAGCAUUGUUUCUUUAGCUGCAGAGGGUGUGUCCCAUGAAUGAGUAAGAUAACAGACAGGAAUCAGCAUUCUAUAUUAUGUAACAAGAUAAAGUGCAGUCUGAAUUGCUGACAAUAAAAGGUAUUGCCUCAAACAAUUACAUUUGAAGCAUUAAUGGUUAUUUAUAUGUUUCCUGUUACCAAAAGGAAAAAACAGAGUGUGGGAAGAGGAAACUUGGGCUUCCCAAGAACUUUCAUAUUAAAGAGACAUGGUAAUGACAAGUAUAUCCCGUUUGGUAGAGCUAAUAGUUAACAAAUAUAUAUUGUUACUCUAUCUAAGCAUUUAUAAGUACACUUUCUGUCCCAUGAUGCAACACUACUCUCUACACAGCAAAAAUAGUGCAAAGAUAGACACGCAAAUAAAAAUAAAGUGGUUUCAUGCAAGUCACCCCAAAUGAAGUACGUAGCACUGUACCACAUUCCUCCUCAUCAGGAAGAGGCAAAAACAAACUUCAGGUGUAACAUUGUUGUAUACCAAGGGUAAGCCACCUUUGGCACUCCAGUUCUUUGCCAGCAUUAUGGCUGUAGGAGAAUUAUGGUCAAAUCAGGCAGCUACGACAACAUAAUAUGUAGUAGAUGUGAAUGCUUACACCAAAGUUUACUCUGCCACAUGUAUAUUGUGUGCAGGCCACAUUACUCCUAAUGAAUCUGCUGUCUUCUAGUUAAUAUUCAUUGAAAUAACUUUAUUAUGGCAUAUAAAAAAUAAAAGGGAACAUAAUUUCAGGGUGAAGACACAAACAAGACAUACGUGUUGAACAGCAUACAAAUACAAUUCAAAAUAUUUAUAAAUACUCUAUAUGAAACAUAAGGUUUCUGGACGAUAGUGGAAUUUGUCUAGGUCUGGUAUGGGAGGUGUUAAAUGUUAUGGAACACACCGCUUUAAUCAGUACAACAUCUAUGAUUAUCAUCAGUAAGAAUACAAGCUCUUUGAUCAGCCAUAAGUAACAAAGUAACAAAGAUAAGAUGUUUUAUGGCGCUUUACUAGAUUUUUAAUUUGAGGAGGAAGUUCCCCUUUAAACUUUACUCAGACCUGUUUGACAGGAUCCAUUAAACAUUCAGUAAAUCAAUAGAUGUUUUUAAACUCCAACUCCCAUUAUUACAAGACUUAUUGAGAUGCACAAUGGGGUUAAGCCUAGUCUUCAACCUUUUUCCAAUAGGCAACAAAUGUUGUUUGAGUGUGGCUAAAAACAAUGCAGAAUAGUUCACACCUGUCUUAUCCUUUCAAACAUAAUUUUCCUGAAAACAUACUUAAACGAGCAGGGACAAUUUUUUUUUUCUUUUAAAUCCAUUGGCAGUGAGUGUGUGAGAGUCCUGUAUUAUUACAUAAAGCAUAUAAUAACGUUACAGAAUAUUUUUCUUACUUGGUACAUGUGCCGUUAUGAAGCUUCUGAAAACAUCCACAUGGAAUACCGGUAAAAUGACAAACUCAGAAAGGAAUAUUAAGAGAUUUUUUGUUUAUACAUUAAAGCUUGUAUCCAACUGCAUUUACAUCUGGCAUUUAUGCCUCUAGCAUUGUGUGUCUUGUUUUUAAAAUAUAUCGGUGUGAUUUACUACAAGUGAAGCUUUUAAAUUGUGUGAACUGUUUUACGUAGUUUUUGCAAAAUACGGCAAUUAUGGGGAUUUAGGGACCCUGAAUAUUUAGCUUUUCCCUUGGGGCUACUUUUACACAAGAUUAUGUAGGAUGUGUAUGAUUUAUAUAAAACGAUAUAUCAGAUCUGCCCCGAAAAAAGUAAACGAAGAACAAGAUAUUCUUCAUAUUCCUAUGUAUGUAACAUCAUUUUGUGACACUAUAAGGAUUUUCAUCAGGUGUGGUAGUAAUCUGCAGAAAGUUAAGAGAGAUUAACAGGGUUAUUUACUAAAGUGAGAAUUUAAAUUUAAGGCCAGUGUAGUCAAACUCUAAGCAUUGCUGACAAUUUCCAAUAUUUUUCCCGUUUGGCUAUGUUGACCUGAAAUAAUGUGUUAUGGAAAGGAAACUUCAAACAAUAUUAAUAAAAAUAAACACAGAGAAACAGAUGUUUGGAUUAAUGCCGUAGUCUUUAUUGAAAGGAAUUUAAAACAAUUGUAAUUUCAAACACUUUCAUUUAUAAAACAACCGUAUGCUCACAACUAGUAACCCCUUGCUGAUACAGGAAACUAUGUUAAGCAAGUAACCACCAUCAACUCUCAGUUAGAAAAGUGGCAAUAUCCGUGGCUAGGCAAAAAAUCAAAGCGGUCAACAUGUCUAUCCUUACCAUCAUACUGUAGCAAUUUAGGGCUAUCCCUGUAUCUAUCCUUCUUUACAUUCUAAAAAGAUUCUAGACAUUGAUUAAAUCCUUCAUUUUGAAAAAAAAAACACACCUAACGUCCCCCAUCGCCUAGGGUGUUCUUGAAGUCCCAGAUAUGUCUUACUAUGCACCUUCCUUACUAUCCCAAACAAUACUAUUUUUAAAUCUCCCCAGCCCCUGUUUUUGGUGCAACUAGAAAAUACAUACCUAAACCCCUCAUCUGUGAAUCAACUACUGUGAAUUCUUCACACUGGUGUAGAUGGCUACCCAAACUGAUUCCCUCUCCUGUUGUUUGCCCCUUUGCUAGGUGGGUCUCCACAGGUUUAAGCCAUGUACACCAAAAAGUGUCACAAGUGGACUUAAUCCCAUUUACACCAUGUCAAAGUUACAACCUCCUCAGUAGAGAGCUACUCACCCACCUCUGAAUUAAACAUCUCUUGAGGGCCAACUGUACCAAUCCCAAUACCUAAAGCACACACAACAUUUGGAACCCUGUGUUUAGGGAUGAAAAAUGGUAGCAAGCCAUUGUCUUCAUGUUAAAAGGUCAUAGUGGAUUCCCAGAUAUAGGAAACCUAAAUAUGUCUAAUAGUGUGAAAAGAAAUUACAAUUGACCAUACUGCAACAACAGAUAACGAUAAAAGGUAUUAUGGGUAGCCUGGUUAGAUUGAAUAUAUAAAAAUAUGCUAAAACAUGUGCUAAGCCAUUAAGACUGGUCAAUGAGUAGAAAUAACUGGGAACAAACACAACUGAAUGAUAAUAGUCUGAAAGGCUUUACUCAAUAAUAACUUAAAAACAGAGCCCGUUUGUUAAGGCAAAAACAUAACUGAUAAGUGUUAAUUACCUGUCGCAAAGCUUUACAGUUUAAUGCCAGCUGCAAAUUAGAAAAAUUGUCUGAGGUUCUAAGCUUCUGGUUCCGUUAUUGUUCAUAAUGGAACAUCAUAAACAUCACUAAUAAAUCAAUAAAACAUGGAGAGAAGAAACUUGCACUCUAAUGUAGACAUGAACAUGGGUUUCCUUAACAAUUUACGAACCUAUAGAAUCAAGUUGCUAACCUAUAAAACUAAAAUGUUGCUGUUAUCUGUUUGAAAUUAAAAAGGGAGGACAGAGGUAGCUGGUAAAGUCUCAAGAUGGUGGGACACUAGAAUCUACCCACGGAAUUUGACAAUGCCUGCUUUAUCCCAUGUGCCCAACCUCUGCUCCAACAAGUCAAAGUGCCUUGUUCAACACCAUAAGCUUUUUUGAGAAUUACCUAAUUUAAAGACUCCUCCCUCUGAUGCUGUUACCCAAUUAUGCAGGAAUAUCUGUUAGGGCGUGUAUGAUCUGGCUUAUCAAUAAAAAGCAAAUGGGUGACAUCAGAAAUCUCACUGUAGAGCACUAAGCAUGUCUGAGGCGUUUAUACCCAGAAAUGUGGUCAAUUUUUCAACAUGACCCAAAUCUUAACAUGAUUAGUUGCUCACACUAUCUGUAGCAUCUUUAGACAUCAAGAAGGAGGGAGAAUACGGCAAGACUAUUCAUGGCGGAUGACACGUUGUGGGGUUUUUCUCGCACAUACUAAUCAUUAGUUCUUAUAUAUAACAAUACUUUUUUUUAUUAAUAGCUUCAAAAGCUUGAGGAGGCCCCCCUUUUCUUCUAGACCAGGGUUCUCUGAGAAAGGACUGUCCAUAUAGCUAUAUUUGAACACCAGUAUAUCAAAGUUAUCACUUUAUUUUCUACAACUACAUACAAAUACAUCCGUUAAAAAGGGCAAGGCAGACUUUUACAGCAGUUUAAAGGAUUAAAGGUCUUCCAGGGUCUUACUUGUUUAUUCUUGUAGUUGCCUUCAGGAUUUAUUUAUAUGCUUGAACGCAUGUGCAUUUUGAAUUGGUCCAUAAUAAAAUGUCUUUUGCUGUUCUACUUUUUCUGUUUUGAGUGUAUUUGACAGCCACACACUUUAACUUUCUUGAUGUGUUUAGGAUGUUUAGAAUUAGAAAGAAAAAAAAACACCAUGCAUUUCAAACAUCUUAUUUUCUUCUGUCAAAUAGGCAGUUCUAUAGUUACAGUAUAUUUUUAUAGAACCUGAAGGCAAGGUGUUUCUAAGAAGAGAGAGUACUCUGACAUGUACAAACUAAGAGGUACAUGCAAGCAGCUCCCAAAUGAACUGUACAACUACAGUAAGACGCAAGCUGUAUAUGUUUAUGACCUUUGAUAUCUAGGUAUGAUAGUUACUAGUUUAGUCAGCAAUGGGUCAGGACUCUAUUUAUUGGUGCAGUUAACAUGCUGGGACUCAGUUUAAAAUAUUGCUUUAUUUAAUAUUGUUCUGAUCGAGCAGUUAUGGUAACCUAGCCCACUCAGUAGUACACUAUGGUACUAAGCCUAUUCUUGCCAGUCCAAUUGUGCAGCAAAGCUGAGGCACAUUAUGAUCUUUUGUAAUCUGAGGCACAUUGUUAGGUUUCUUGUCAACCAUGCAUCUAUCCUCCAGACUGGUGUGUCAUGCCCAUGAACACUGUCUGAAUGUAGAAUGCCAGGUAUUUUAUUAAAAUGGGUUUUUCUUAUUGACCCCAACAUCAGUCUUGCUAGUCAUGUUCUAUACCAUACAGGGCCGAACUUACCCUCCUUGCUGGCCCAAGUCCAGUUUACUCAAUGCACUCCAAUAUAAUAAAUAUAUAAUAAUUAAUGCUAUAUAUAUAUUAAUAUAUAUAUAUAUAUAUAUAUAUAUAUAUAUUAAUAUAUAUAUAGCAUUAAAUUAGUUUAAGCUUGUCUGUGAAUUUAAAAAAAAAAAAAAAAUUAAUUAAAAAGCAGACGUAUUAUUACUGAGAUUAGUUACCCAUUACCAGAUACUCAGUUACCCACUAUAGGAGGCGCCAAUUUUUUUGUUAAACCUGGCCACCUCUUUAAGAUGGGCAAUGUACCUCCUCUAUGUGCGUAUGUAUUUCUACAUUUAGGGAUAUCACUUGUUCUUGGAGGUCUGCUAAAUGCAACAAGAAAACAGUUACAAUUUACAAUAGGAUGGAUGGCAGCAUUUGGCCUGGCGUCAAAGUACAAGUGAAUGUCCCUUUUUAACAUAAAACUCAUGGAUGUCUAUGUAGAUGGUCCUACUCACACGCCACAGGCGUGAUAUCAAAAUAUAAACUUGCAAUCUCCGUCAUGUGAUAAGCAUUAGGGAGUAUUCAUAUAUUUGUGCAUUCCUAAUUGAUUGACAAUUCUUAAUGUGACUCCACUGAUACCAUAGUUGAAAUCUCCAGCCAUAGUUGAAAUCUCCACAUCAUACCUGCUCAUAACAAUCUGGCAGCCCGUUCAGUCAUUGCCUCAUAGGAAGUGUAUCAGCCAAUUCACAAAACCUCACAGUGCUGGGCUAGCCAAGGCUCUGCAUAAUUCCUGCUUGCUGUCUCACUCCUGCCGUAUUGUGCCAACAGACAUCCCAAUGCAAUUAUAGUUGCUUCUUCACCAGAACAAUGGUUCUGUGAGGCUGCAGGCAACAAAUCCUGCAUGAUAGGUGAAUAAGGCAUUGCCCCCCACCCAACCCCAACAUGCACACUCACACGCACACGCGCACACACACACACACCUUGCUAUUCCUCUCCUUACUGCAUAGAGGGCAGAAUACAGAAGGAUAGCCAUGCAUCAGAAUAGCUAUGACUUAGUUCUGAUCUAACUAUACACGUGUCUGUAUUCAAAUUUUAGGUCAUUUUAGUUCAAAACAGAGACACAUAUUAAAUGACUGUAUCCUAUAAUAUCAACAGUGUUAUUAUAUGCGCAACAGUUCCCAGAGUAAGUUGAAAUACCUAUGGUUCCUGUCUGUGAAUAACUGAUUAUUAAAAUCUGAUCUUUUAGUCUGGGACUUUUUUCUCAGCCACAUAGAUACCAAGUAGUAAAAAACCUUCAUUCAUAGACAGGAAACCACCAUUUGAAAUCCUAAACACCUAGUUUCCAUAUGGCCAGUAGUGAAUGGGGCCUGUGUUCAUAUAUAGGACAUGCUGAGAACAGUCAAUGUAUAUUUUUUUACGCUUAACCUUUUAAUGCCAGAGGGGGUCAGCUUAAUGAAGUGAAGUUAUGCACUAAAUAAUCAUGUCUGCCUUUAACCUGUAAAAUGCCAAAUAGGAUAAAAAUAAUCUGUUUCUUAGUUUUGACAUUUAAAGGGACACUCCAGACCCCUAAAUCACUUCAGCUUACUGAAGUGCUUUAUAUGUGAAGAGUGUCCCCCCCUUUUUUCACAAAAAGUGCAGAUUUCAAUAGAAACUGACACUUUUAUUGAUUAACCUUGAUAUACAUAAAUCUACACUAAAUACCAUAUAAGGAUACAACAACAAAAGUGUUGUUUGACACCUUUGAAAAUUUAUUUAAAAACUAACAAAGUUAAAUACCCCAUUGACAGAAGUAUUUACACCCUGUGCUAUUACACUUGAAAUUUAGCUCAGGUGCAUCCCAUUUCUCUGGCUCAUCUUUGAGAUGUUUCUACACUUUGAUUGAAGUCCACAUGAGGCAAAUUCAAUUGAUUGGACAUGAUUUGCCAAGGCACACAGCUGUAAAUAAAUCUAAAAAAACAAGACAUGGUAAAAAUAAUUGCCUGCAGAGCACAGAGACAUGAUUGUGUAAAGGCACAAAGCUGGGGGAGGCUACAAAAACAUUCAGCUGCAUUGAAGGUUAUCAAGAGCACAGUGGGCUCUAUGAUUCUUAAAUGGAAGAAGUUUGGACUAAUAAAGACCUGGCCACCUGACCAAACUGAGCAAGGGCCUGGGUAAGACAGAUAACCAAGAUAAUUAAUCUCUAAUUAAGUGGUUUAGGUGGCCCCUGAACACAGACUGCUGAACAUGGCCACAAACUGCUGAACACAUUCACAAACUGCUGAACACAUUCACAUACAGACUGCUGAAUACAUGCACACACCUACUGCUGAAUACACGCAAACACUGAAUGCUGAAUACAUGCACACAUCGACAGCUGAAUACACACGCACACAGACUGCUGAGUACACACGCACACAGACUGCUGAGUACACACACAGACAGACUGAUGAGUACACACAGAAUGCUGAAUACCUACACACACUGUGCGUUGAACACACACACAGACUGUUGAAUACACAAAUACACAGACUGCUGAAUACACACCUUCUGAAACACACACACACAGAGAUUGCUGAAUACAUACAGACUGCUGAAUACACACACACACUGCUGAAUACACAUACAGAUACUGCUAAAUACACAGAGGUUGCUGAAUAUAUAGACAUAUACUGCUGAAUAGACACACAGAGACUUUUAAAUACACACAUACUGCUGAAUACACACACACUGCUGAGUACACACAGACAGAUUGCUGAGUACACACAUAUACACACAUUGCUGAAUACACACACAGAUACUGCUAAAUACACACAGACUGCUGAAUACACAAACCCAGACUUCUGAAUACACACACACAGAGACUGCUAAAUAGACACAUACUGCUGAAUACACCCAGAAUGCAGUGAGGGUGCAGUGUAUGUAUGUAGGGGUGCAGUGUGUUUGUGAGGGGUUGUGUGUGUGUGUGUGUGAGGGUGCUGUGUAUAAGUGGUGCUGUGUGUGUGUGUCAGGGGUGUUGUUUGAGGGAUGCAGUAUGUGAGGGGUGCUGUGUGUAUGGGUGGGUGCUGUGUGUGAGGGGUGUUGUGUGUGUAUGUGUGUGUGUGUGGGGGGGUGUUGUGUGUGAGGAGUGCUGUGUGUGUGUGAAAGGUGCAGGGAGCAAAUGUUUUUUGAAAUAUAUAUAUUUUUAAAAAGUGGUGGGUAGUAAUCUAUAGCCAGCAGCUCCUCUGGCUACAAGCUGUCUUCACUCCCGCAAGCAGAAUGAUGUGUGGAGCAUUGCCGUGGUAACGCGCGGCAACGCUCUACACAGCAUGCUCGCGGGAGGAACGAUCUUCCUCCCAGAUCGUUUCUCCUGCCUCCCAGGUCCCUCCUGCCCUCUCUCUCCCACUUACGAAGGGCCUUUAGGCCGGUGAGGGAGAUCUUAGAUCUCCCCACCGGCCCGAGAGGGCCCACAGGAAUUAAAAGAUGGCCCUGGAUAUAGCUUGAAAGGAUGUGCAAAAAUGAAUAGGAACUACCCAAAUCCAGGUGUGCAAAGCUUGUCGCAUCAAAAGGACCUGAGGCGGCCAAGGGUGCUUUGACUAAGCAAUAAGUCAAGUUAUACUUAUGUCAAUGUGAUAUUUCAGGUUUUUGUUCUGUUUAAUACAUUUGCAAUGGUGCCAAAAAAGUGAUUAAGUGUAAUGCGUAUAUAUGUAUGUAUGAUUAUAUUUAUAUAUCUAUACACACGGUAUCUGGAGGCAGCCGGUCUGGAAGACUUCAGUCAAGAUACCUUUAUUCCUUCCAGUGAUUUUUCAAACUUUCACAUAAAUCUUAUUAUGAAACUUUCUAGUAUGAGAAGUUGGCACCUCCCUCUGGUUUUAUUUUGAUAGUUAUAGAAAUAUAUAUGAGAAGCUUAAAUGGUAAGACUAAGGUUUUGUAGCAGGAUAUUCACUAAACAAUGAGUUGUGGUGAGUUGAGAAAGAGUAAAAGGAAUAGGUGAUUUUCAAUGCUUCAUACAAAGGUGCAAUUUCAUAGAAUACUUGUAAUUAAUAAGAAUGUCAUUGUUAUCCCCAACUGUUAUCCAUUAUGUUAGGGAUAGCAGUUAAAUUAUUAUAGAAUAUUUUGCCAGGAGGUUUAGAGAGUCAGUCACCAGGGACCUACUGAAACAACAUGGGGUCCCCCUUUUCUGGCUAAAAAGCAUUGAUUUAGUAUAACUGAUGCAGAGUAUGUUUCAGCAAUGUAUUUAAACCCGCACCAGUACUAAAGUCUUACACAAUAGCUUUAAAACUAGAUUUAAAAAAAAAAAAAAGUAUGUGUUUUGUGAGGUCAAAAUAUCCUGGGAAUUGUUGGGUCAAACUAAGAACAAUGUGCUUAUUUUGAAUAUCCUUUCUCAGAGUCCAAGGACCACAGAAGAGGCUUUUCUUGAAUAUACAUCAACCCCUACUUGUAAAGGAGACCUAAAAAGCCUAGAUUAGAUUUCACCAAAAGUUUAUUGUAAGUCCUGCUAGGGCUCAACCUGCAGUCUUCAUUAUUUAUUUUUCUUAGCUGCAUAACUUCAUAAUGAUAUUCCUUAUGAAUAUGUACUAGAAUAGCUGUGCCUUUUUGAUAUAAACAAAACUGCGGACAAUCUAUUGAUUUAGAUCAAUGUAACACUGAGCAUAGAUUGCAUUCAUGCAGCUUAAAAAUACUACAUUUUGGGAUCCUUUAAUGGGAAUAUAAAAAGAACGGUACCUUGGGGUGGACCCUUCUUUCAGCAUCUGCUAUUAAACAGUUAUGAGGACACCGUUGGUAAACAACAGAAUUCGAACAAAACAUGACCGAGAGCGACAUUAUUCCGUUCUGAAAUUACAAACUGCUGUCUUUCUUUCAUGUGGAGUCAUUUCACUUGUUUAAUUGUGUCUCCUUUAUUUAAACACCAACCAGUCCAUUUCCAUUAGUUUUGUUUUCUUUAUCUGUAGCCAGUGAGCAUUUUAAGCUAAAGAAAUCAAGCUUACUGUCUGUCAGUUGCACAAGAGAGGGUGAAACUGGGCCAGUAUUAUAAAUGCCCUCAAAACGGAAUUGUCAUUAAUACUUUUUGUAAAGCAGCUAGGCUAUUCAGAGUCAGCCAACCCUUUCUUUGAAUGAAAACGGGCACCUCAUUAAAUUGGUCUGUACGUUAAUCUUAUUAAAGUAGCAGAGAAGCCUGCGUAUUAGUAAGCCUUCCCAAGCUUCCAACUUUUAAAGGGAUGAUAAUGAAUAUACUUUGGGCAAUAAAUACUUGCUGUCUCCAGAUUUAAAAGGUAAACAAAAACAAAAGAAAAACAUUAAGUGCCAUUAAUUGGAGUGAUUACAGUGCUAUAAAUAUAUCUAUUGCUGGACUAACCCACUUCUUUUGAGGCUCUCAGUAUACCAUAUCCAUCCAAGAUUGGACAGCUAUGCAUGAAACACCUGCGUAAUCUUGGUGGAGACAAAAUGGUGCUUGAGAAACCAUCUUUAGGGGUUUUUUUUUGCCAAAGACUCGAUGCACAGUAACCAAAACAAUGAGCUUUCCUAUUUAUAGUGUUUAGUCCGCCCCAUUAAGUAGUUUGAUUGGUCUAGAAAAAACGUUCUUACCAUAAUUCUAUAGAUGUAUUUUACAGUUCCACCCGUUCUAAUUCAGAAGUUCUUCUACCAGAAAUGUUCUUGUUUAGUAGAAGGCCAAUGCAUUAGUUUAGUUCACUGUGGUUGGUAUUAUAUUGUAUUAUAGGAGUUUAUAUUUUUUUUAAGAUGCAUAUGUUUUCAAGUUAAAACAUAUUGACCCAUUAAUAGGAAACCAUAAUAUUCGCCAACAGUCUAGGUGCCACCGAAUAUGCAGAUCAAAUCCAAAUCUACCUUCUCAAUAGAGUUCUAGAAAAUAAUAGGUUUGCUUUAGCUUUAUGUUUAAAUACAUUUCAAGAUGAUCAUAACGAGUUGUGUAUGUCAGCGGCCAAUGUCCAAAGAAAAACAGUGAGAUGACACUGGAUGGAAUUAAAAAUUUAGUAUUACUGAACACGAACAAAGACUAGCCUUUUGUGUAGGAGAACAAGACAGCUGGCGCUACAAGUAAAAUGAAAAUUCUCUGCUGAGGAGGAGACUUUUCAACACAGAUUUGACUAUUCAGUGACCUUGGUUAAUAGUGGGCAGCAGUGGCACAGAUAAAGGUCAGCAUUACAUAGUUGGCAACAUUAAAAAUAAAAUGAAUAACAAUGCAGAGACAUUCUACUCAUUUAUUUUCUUAUUCUAAAAAUCCUAUAAUGCAAAGCCAUUGUAUUUAGCUACACAGAAUUUGGCCAGAAACACUAAGGACAUUCAGGCUAUAUGAGCAGAGUGCUUUAGUAGUGCUCUGCGAUCGUAUAGCCCUGAGUGGGUCUGGCCAGUACUGUGGUCAGCCAGCCUGGCUUACAACCACACCAGGCUGACAUGCUUGUUUUUGGAUGGGCUUGCCCCUUUGGACUUCUGUAGCGAUGCCAGCUGCAUCACUGACACACCACAAUUGACCCAAACCCCCUCAUUUCAGAACCAUCCAUUCCACUGUUAGAAAGAAUGAGACCUUACAAGUUGCAGUGCACUGCUAAAGGUUAGUUAUACUAACACACAGAGCUCCAGAGUUACCUGUGAGAAUUGGAGUUUAGAGCAGUGGCAUGGCCAAAGAUUACCUGCUGAAAAAAUUAUAUAAGAUCUGUAUUUUAAUACAUUCUCUCUCUACUAAUCCAUUGUGAUAUAAUGAUCCUACAGUUUUGCUAGCUUCACUAUAACCCAAUAUUUCUUUUAAUCAUGAUAUUUUUAUGAAAUAGAUUAAGUACUGUAAGUAGGACUGCAUGGGAGACAUUAUAUAUAUAUAUAAAAUCUCUCUGCAUGGAGACACUGAACUUUCCUCAUAUAUAUGCUUUGAUUCAAUGCUCUACUAGGAGAUGCUGAUUGUUAAUAUGAAUGUUGUUUGUUAAAGAAAUUCUGGAGAUAUAAUAGGAAAACUUCAUACAAACACAUGCUAUCUUCCCUUUAGAAAUAACAUUGUCAUUGAUUGACAUACAUUUAAUUCAACAUAAAAAGCAAACAUAAUAAUGCAGCAAAUAGUGACCACACUAUAAUACUUAUAUACAUAUUUAAAGGAACACAAACAUGUAUUCCUGACCCUAUAGUGUUAAAACCACCAUUUAGCCCCCCUGGCCCUGCCCCCCUAAAUAUAGUUAAACCUUACUUGUAUUCAUGUCUGCAGCUGCUGCCUCUGCCCCUGAUCUGCCUGCUUGGCUGUCAUCAUCAGAAGUAAUUCUCUCAACCAAUCACAAUGCUUUCUCAUAGGAUUGGCUGAGACUGUCAAAAAGGCAGAUCAGGGGCAGAGCCAGCACAAGUCAAACACAGCCCUGGCCAAUCAGCAUCUCCUCAUAGAGAUGCAUAGAAUCAAUUAAUCUCUAUGAGGAGAUAAAGGAAUGUCAGUAAUGCAUGUUGUGCAGAUGUGCCCCAGGAAGUACCUCUAGUAGCCAUUUGAUGAGGGGCCAGUGAAGUUAUCCCUAGGCUGUGAUGCAAACACUGAUUUUACUCUCUGAAAAGACAGUGUUUACUGCAAAAAGCCUGAAGGGAAUGAUUCUACUCACCAAAACAAAUACAAUAAGCCAUAGUUGUUCUGGUAACUAUAGUGUCGCUAAGUGUGGCCACUGUUUGGUGCAUAAAUAUUUUUGCUUUUUAUGUACAGUUUAUUAAGGUGAAAGGAGAAUCACCUGUUAUCAUUCACCUCAGUACACACUAAUUAUUGGUUUAUAUUUUUUGUGAAGCACCUAUACACCCUUUUGAUUGUUAUACAUGUAAUUAAAAUCUGGCUUUUAAUCAAGGUAAUUAAGGAGUAGGUAAUCAAAGAAAAAAGUUUUGGGCUUCACAAAAAGGUGGUCCAUGAACGAAGACCGACUAGCAACCAAGCAGGCCAGACUCCUUCUGGGUUUCCCAUAUUCAGAGCUAUGUUAAAGGGUGCUGCAUGGACAGAAAAGACUUAGGUUAAUCUUGGGCAGAACCCUUGCACUGUGCUUUAUGGGAGUUUUUAUCUGGUGUCCACAGAACUAAACAGUAAGAAAGUAAAACAGCCCCUGUAACUACACAUAAAACUACAGACUGUGAGUUUAUCCAUACCGCCCCUCUUGAUGGGAACAUUCUAUAGCGAUGUUACUGCUGAUAUAGCAACAUUAACAUUUUAAAAUUAGCAUUUCUAUAUUGAUAUUUUGUAUGCAUAUACAUAACUGGAAGCACUGCAUUAAAAUCAGAAACAAACAUUUACGAAAAUAACUUUAUAUUAUCUUUUUAUUCUUUCAAUUUGAUGUCAAGUCAUGAAAUUCUCUCUGACGUGACGUAUUCUUCCCUUAAUAUAAGUGUUUUAUUUGUCUAAAAACUGAGAAGGACUUUAUCAGUUUUAUGUAAAUGUAUUAUUAUUCACUAAACAUAUAAUUGCAGCAAGAAAAAAACAAAACCAAAAAUAAAAAAAAAUUCAUUACAAAAUGUAGGUCAAAGUAAAAUUAUGUAUGAUACGACACGGUUGCCGAUAUUAUUAAGAAAAUAAAAUAGGGAAUAUUCUGUUUUGAGGAAGAAUACCUUUUUUUUUUUUUUAAAGUGAAACAGUUCUAUUUGUGCCAACCUUACUGACCAUUUUGCCAUAUGAUUGAUCACAUAUUUUUUUGAGUGAGGUCUGUGGGUGAACAACAUAUUUUGUGGUAUUAUACAUUACCGUAGAAAACUUACUGUAAAUUGUGACAUAGGAUGUUCUAUAAGCUGAAACAUGAAAUUUUGUGCAUGUCCAUACAGAAACAGGUUUGAUAAAAAAAAAAGCCUGUGACUCAGGGAUCAAUUUUUAUAAAGAGUCGGAUGUAACAUGCCAACAUUGAAACAUCAAUAAAAACACAACCUUCUAUACCAUUAGGUUGCAAUCCAUAUACUGAAAUACAUUUAAUUCCUGGCUCUGGCUGCAGGUCAUCUCCUACUUGACAGGAGAAUACUGAUGGAUAUUAGUGUAUUCACUAUAUUCCGAAUUGCAUCAGACAAAAAUGUGGUUACUAAAUUCAGGCUGCAAUAGUUAAACUAUAACUAUAUGUAGUUGGAGAUUUAAUGUAGUUCUCCUGUGAUUAUUUUUGGAGAGCAUUUACAAAUUAGCAAAUGUUGCUUAAACAUUGCUGUUCAAUAUAUAGUAGAGUAUAAAUUGUUUGGUGUUUAAUGAGCUAAUGUCUGUGUGCCCAUAUCCCAUACCCAGUGGGGCAGAAAUACCACCAGUGCCCACACACUUAGAGACAGAGGUGUGCGCAGCCUAUUGCAUUAGGGUGUGCACCCAGGUCCUUUCCUGCCUCUGGGUCAGUGAGGGAGAUCUUUGAUCUCCCUACCGACCCAUGGAGGCACACAGCAGAGUCAGCGCUCGGAUAGCGUGGCUCUGCAUGGACCUACAGGGGAGACCCUGUGAUCUCCCCUGCCGGCCUUGAUUCAUGCGCAGGCUGCAGGGAUUAGGGUGUGCCCAGGCACCCCCGGCACACCCCGUGCGCACGCCUAUGCUGAGGGGGCCCUUCGAGUGACCCAUGCACUUAGGACCUCCUUUUGAGCAUGUGUCUGCUGUGGUUCUUUAAUGAGACUGAUCCCCUUUAAUAAUGUAAUGACAGCACUGGGAGGAAGUGAGACAGUCAAUUUCAACCAGCUAACACACAAAAAGCCACGUGGGAGAAAGAGGGGUAGCGCACUGGGAUAUCAAGCCCCUAACUCCCAACAGCCACAGCCAUCACAAGUAACCCUCCUGCACCCAAAAUGUAGGCUUGGAUUUAGACCAGCAAAUGUGUCUGUAUGUGUGUUUCUGUGUGUCUCUGGAUGUGUGUCAUUGGGUGUUUCUGUGUAUCUGUAUCUAUAUGUAUGUCAGUGUUUGUAUCUGUGUGACUGUGUAUCUGCAUGUCUGGUAGUGUUUGUAUCUGUGUACCUGAUCUGCAUGUGUGGCAGUGUUUGUAUAUGUGCACCUGGAUCUUUAUGUGUGGUAGUGUUUGUAUCUGUGUGUCUGUCUAUUUGUUUGUGUUUCAGUGUUUUUAUCUGUGUAUCUUUGUAUCUGCAUCUGUGUCCGUGUUUGUCUGUGUAUCUGCAUUUGUGUUAGUGUGUGUGCCUGUGUGUGUGCUUAUCUGCAUGUUUAUCAGUGUGUGAAUGUGUGAAUGUGUAGCAGUGUAUGUGUAAAUGUGCAAAUACCAACACUACACAUAAAUACACCCCUACAUUCAAAUAUCAACAUUGCAAUCAAACGAUAACACUACAUGCAAACACACCCUUAUAUUCACUUACACCAUACAAAAAUAUACUUACAUUCAAAUGCACAAACAUUGCUCAGUGCUAAAUACAGCAAUGCAUGGAUGUGCAAGUGGUAGAUCCCCAGCUGGCAAAGCAUUAUGAGAGUUGUAAGUCAGAUGGGGAUCACCUUUUGUCCACCAUUAUAAUACGGGGUGGUGCAAAAUAAUUAUUGCACCAGGGCCCUCUCCACGUUAGUUCCGCCACUGUUCACAGCAGUUUUAAAGGUUAACCAAAUUUAAAGGAGAGCAAUAAAUAUAUUUUCCCAUGAACUUUAAUAGGUAUAGGCCAAUAAUUCAUUAAAGGCAGAAAAUAUUUGUGAAAUAACAUCUCAUUUAUUUAUUAAAGGUAUCCCUAACAUAAGAGUGAUUUAUGGCCUAAUUACAAGCAGCCCCCACCCCCCUGCAGAAGUAAUUUAAAAAUAGAUUAUCUACUUACCUUCAGUUCCCCAGUGCGUUAGUCUUGCCGGCGACGCCACUACUCCCCUGGCUGAGAUUAUCAUUACUGAUAAUCUCUGCCAAUCCCAUAGGACAUUGGGGGUAGUGCAGUGGUGUAUCCUGGUUUUGUGCUGCCCUAGGCAAGUCAAAACUCAGGCGCCACCCCCCACCCCCCCACGGCACACCACCCUUCCCCCCUGCCCCGCCUUCUAAAUACACACACACACAUUCACUGGCAGAUACGCAUACACUAGCUAACAGACAUACACACUCACUAACAGACACACACACAGACACACUCAUUCACUAACAGACACACUCACUCACUAACAGACAAACACACACUAACAGACAAACACACUCACACUAACAGACACACUCACGAACAGACACACACACACUAACAGACACACACUCACAUUAACACAUUCACUUUUUUUUUUUAAUUCAACCAACCCAGCCUCCUUACCUUUGGGAAUACCAGGGGGGGGGAGGUCUCCUUUCCCCUGGGGUCCAGUGGCUGCUGGGCAGGCAGCUUUCCCCUGAGCUCUGUGCUCAGCUCCCUCACGCACCGCAGAGUGAUGCCUAGAGCCGGAAUAUGACGCCAGCAGAGAGCUCAGGGGAAAGUGCUCCCUCGCCAGCGCUGCCCGAUCGACUUGAUUGUUAGCUUCCAGGCUAACAAGCCAUUUCCCCUGGGCAUUUUUUGUCGCCCCCUGGAAAAUGCCUUGUUUGACUCGUGGCGAAUACGUCCCUGGGCUAGUGCAUAUGCACGGCAAUCACUGAGAUGCUACAAUCAGCACCUUCUCAUAGAGAUGCAUUGACUCAAAUCAUCUCUAUGAGGAGCGAUCGGCAUUUCCAUGCAGAACAUGGAGAUGCCGAAAGUUGGUCCAUAGCAGGACUGCAAUCAGUAAGCCCCACUAGUAGCUGUUAGAGUGAUAGCCAUUAGAGAUAGAUUUAAGCUGUAGUGGUUCUGGUUCUUAGAGUGUCCCUUUAAGAAGGGCAACAAGAGGGUGACCAUUAUACCAGAGAACAAUAAAAUAUUGUUACACUUACCAUGCUCAACCAGUACUUGAAGGUACAUGGAGAGAUCAAAAAUCAGCUUAGACAACCAGUAACUGAUCAGUGGACUUCAACUCCCACCAUGCUUAUUUAGUGAUGAUGAAGCAUGAGAAUUACUGCAGUCCACUGCAGACUGAGUGCCUGGGACAUCUAACAGUCAAUCUACAAAGAUUACAGCUCCCACUGUUUGACUCCGUACUCACUGAACAUGUUCUUUUUGUACUACACUGAUAAGCUACAAUAAUAAAGCCACUGACAGCUAAAGUUAAUAAUAUUGAUUAGGGAUGUGCAUGGGCAAAUAAAUUUGCUUCGGUUCGGACUUACGAAAUUCGUGACUUCGGCAAUUCGUGACUUCAGCAAUUCGGGACUUUGGCAAUUAGGUUCAGUUCGGCACUUCUGAAAUUUGUCAAUUCAGAACUUCGACAAUUCGGUUCGGUUCAACACUUCCGAAAUUCGGCACUUCGUAAAUUUGGCAGUUUGGCACUUAGGCAAUACAGACGUUCGUAAGCUUCCAAAUUUGCCAAAAUUCGGACGAAUUUAAAUUAGGACCGAAACAAAUUGCCUGGAGCGAUCACUUCCGGGUUACCCUACGUGGCGCUCUACAGUGUAGUGCAGAGCAUCAGAAGCCAUCAGGCAGGCUUCUGAUGCUCUGCCUAUGCUGAGUCCCCCGAGGGAUAAAAAAAAUAAAAAAUUUAACCCCUUCCCUCCCUCUACGUGUACUUACAAAUCGCUGCCAUUCCCCCACCAGCGUUCGAUCUUCUUCUUCUAUGGGGGUACUUUCUUACAGCCCAGACAGUCUCCCCUCUGCAAGAAUGGACCCCCAAGGGCCAUGUGACCGCUCUGAAAGAGUGGUCACAUAGCCGCCAUAGGUGUCCAUAGUGCUGCCAGCAGGGGGACUGCCUGUACUGACAGGCAGUCCCGCUGCUGGUGAAAAAAGUAAAAAAAAGUAACAAAAUUAUAAUAAAGUUAAUACAUUUUUAAAAAGUGUGUGUAUGUAUAUAUAUAUAUAUAUAUAUAUAUAUGUAUAUAUGAGAUAUAUAUAUAUAUAUUCAUAUAUUAUAUCUAUAUAUAAUAUGUAAAUAUAUAUAUAUAUCUUAUAUAUAAUGUCAUAUUAAGUGUAUUUUUUAUUAAUAUAUACAUAUAUUAAUAUGAAAAAAUACACUUAGAGAAAAAUUACACACGUAUAUAUAAUAUAUAUAUAAUAACUAUAUAUCGUAUAUAUAGUAUUAUAAAAAAAUAAUGAAUUAAAAAUAAAUAUAAACUGUAAAAAUAAUUAAAAAAAAAUAUAUAUAUGUAAUUUUAUUCUAAAUGUAUUUUGAUGUUAAUAUAUAUAUAUAUUUAUAUCAAAAUACAUAUAGAAUAAAAUUAUAUAUAUAUAUAUAUAUAUAUAUAUAUAUAUAUAGAUAGAUGUGUAUAUAAGUAAAAAUACGAAAUAUACAUAUGUCCAUAUACAUAAUUACAUAAAUAAUUUCAGAAAUAUACACGUAGACUUCAAAUAUAUAAAUCUGUAUAUAUAUUUAAAUUCCACGUGCAUAUUUAUGUAAUAUUUUUACAUAAUUAAGUAAUUUUGUUGAUUGAAAUUUGAGGGACCUCUCUGACAACCCAAGCGAAAGUCCAGAGAAUUUAAUUUGCUAGCACUAUAUUUAACCCUGUAAUUUUCCAAGAUACCCUAAAACCUGUACAUGGGGGGUACUUUUUUACUCGGUAGACUUUGCUGAUUACAAAUAUUAAUGUUUAAAAACAGUAAAACAUAUCACAGUGAUGAUAUUGUCAGUAAAAGUAGUUUUUUGCAUUUUUCGGCACUUUCACUGAUAAUAUCAUUGUUGUAAUACAUUUUACUGUUUUAAAACACUAAUAUUUGUGUUCAGUGAAGUCUCCCGAGUAUAACAGUACCCCCAUGUACAUGUUUUAUAGUGUUUUUGAAAGUUGCAGGGUCAAAUAUAAGGCUGUUUUUUCACAUGGAAAUUUGUCAGAUUGGUUAUGUUGCCUUUGAGAGCGUAUGGUAGCCCAGGAAUGAGAAUGACCCCCAUGAUGGCAUACCAUUUGCAAAAGAAGACAACCUAAGGUAUUACAAAUUGGGUAUGUUCAGUCUUUUUUAGUAACCACUUGGUCACGGACACUGGCCAAAGUUAGCGUUCAUAAUAAUUUUUUGCAUUUUUAACACACAAUAAAAUAUAAAUGAUCAUUUUGCCCAGUGUUUGUGACUACGUUGCUACUAAAAAAGACUGGACAUACCCCAUAUGGAACACUCUGGGUUGUCUACUUUUCAAAAAUAUAUGGUUUGAUGGGCGUUAAUUACAUUGACCAGCUUCAAAAAUAGGACAUGGGUGCAUGAUGACCAGCUGUGAAAAUUCCAAGUUGGAAAACUGGAAUGCGCACCCUCCAAAUAAGGUCUUUUACCCCCCAGAGAACCUGACACAGCUAUACAUGGGUGGUAUCACUGUACUCAGGAGAUGUUGCCAAACACAUAUUGGAGUGUUUUUUGGCAGUAACCCUUAAAGUUCUCAGUACAUUUAUUCAUAAAUUGCUAAAUGUGUCAAAAAAAAUCACCAAUUAUUAUUAUUUUUUUUUAAUUUGGCAUUGAUUGGUGGUAAAAUGGUUGCCUGAAAAGAGUCAAAAUACCCCAAGUUUAAUACCUUAGGUUGUCUUCUUUUAAAAAAUAUAUACAUGUGAAGGGUUAUUCAGGGAUUCCUGACACAUAUCAGUGUUACAAUGUAACUUGCGUUCAUUUUGAAAAAAAAAAAGGUUUGGAAAUAGCAAAGUGCUAUUUGUACUUAUGGCCCUAUAACUUUCCAAAAAAGCAUAGAACAUGUUAACAUUUGGCAUUUCUAAACUCAGGACAAAAUUUAGAAACUAUUUAGAAUGGGUGGUUUUUGGCGGUUGUAGAUGCGUACCAGAUUUCGAGGGUCAAAUUUAGAAAAAGUGUGUUUAAAAACUUUUUCAUCAUAUUUUAUUAUUUUUUUUAUAGUAAGUUAUGAUAUGAUGAAAAUAAUGGUAUCUUUAGAAAGACCAUUAAAUGGCGAGGAAAACUGUAUGUAAUAUGUGUGGGUAAAGUAAAUGAGUAAGAGGAAAAUUACAGCUAAACACAAACACGGUAUGGUAAGAAAAUUGUAUUUUGUUAUUGUCUUUCAUCUAACUCGUAGUGUGACCAAAUUAAAAUAUAUAUGUAAAUAUCAGAAUUGUUUCCAUGUCACUGUAAAAUUUCUUAGGAUACAGCCAUAAAAAUGAAAAUAAACUCUAAAAAUAAAAUAAUGAAUUAGGCAGUUAUAUUCCAUCAGCCAGAUGAAAUGACCAAUCACUGACUAGAUUAAAAUCUGUACUGUCACAGGGUAAAAUGGUCAGAGGUAACAGAACACCUGACUGCCGUCUGAAUGAAUCAUUCCUAUAGACCAAGAUGGGACCUGCGCGUGAUUUGUUAUAGCUGUCUACAUUUACACAUUUACAUUUAUUCUAUUUACUCUGAUUUAUUACUCUUGCUGUGUGCCAGAUUAGCUCAUGGCAAUAUUUAUGGCGACAUUGUACUUUAUUGUCAUUGCUGUUUAUUUCUUUACAUAAGCAGCCAGCAGAUAAAUUUACAUUCAUUUUCUACGUUAAAAUAGCAGAAGUGUUAGAACAAGUACAGAAAUCUAGGAUAACAUUUUGAACAAUAGCCUGAAGCUUUUUGAAAUAUUGUAUUAAAAUAUUUUUGUAUAAAAUAAUACCAAUUUAUAUUAUAAUUAUUCAACUUAGUAGCACUCAUUUUGUUGACACUGAAAUUAUGAAAAGCUUAGUGUUCAUGUUGACCAAACAAGCUGAAAUUUGAAAAGAACACAGUUGGUGUGUUAAUCAAUUGAAUUACUCACCAACUACACUGAUCAGCCACAACAUUAAACCACUGACAGGUGAAGUGAAUAACACUGAUUAUAUUGUUACAAUGGUACCUGUCUCUAAACUAUGGAAUUAUAUAUAAAAUAAUUGAAAAAUGUAAAUGUUUGUAUAAUUUUAAGGAUUGCAAUAUUUAUAUUUGAAGUGUUCUGCAUGGAGUAUUUUUGUUUGUAUGUUAAAUAUCUUUAGCUAUAAACCUCUUAAAAUACUUUUUUUUUUUUCCAUCCUGAAGAAUUCUAAACAAUAAAAAAAAAACACCAGGAAAAUGAAUGUGAAACUUACCCUGUAACAGGACCCUCUAGCCUGUGUAAAGGUGUCCUUUAACUGGAAUGUCUUGGCUGUGUAUGAAAAUCCUUUCCAUUCUUUGUGUCCUCCAGGUAUUGCCAACCAGGUCUCAGCAGAGAUGCCAGAUAAAACACCAGAGGGCACAGAAACUGCAUCUCAGAAUGAAGG
rnacentral:lncRNA from 1 species